rnacentral:lncRNA from 1 species
CGUUUACAUGUACCGAAUGUAUUCAAGUAUUUUCUUUUCAUAAAACUUGGAAUAAUACGUAAGUUUAGGAGAUCGUACAUAAUCUAUUCCCAAAUUAUCAUUAUAAUACAAUACAAUAUUAAGUCCUAAUUGGUGAAACCAAGUCUUGACCAAGGUACAAUACGCUGCAAGUCCAUCCAGUUGAAAAGAAGUUUUCGUCGAACAGGGACCAUAACCCGUUGUGAAUCAAAUACAUACUAGCGCGCAAAACGCUUCCUGAAUUAACAUAUACAUAACCUGCAAGAAGGCAAAUCAUUGGCAUCACAAGUUAAUCAAAAUCAAUUACAUGCUAUUAUAUAUUUCCAUAACUCUUUAAAGAAAAACAACCAUAGUUGGAAUCAUAAAAAAUGAGGGAAUCACAGGAAGAUGUAAAGAAAAAAAGAGAAAACAAUCAUCAAUAGUUAUUUCAUGAUAUUGCUAUCAUAAACAUCUCAAGUUUGGGGACCACAAGAACAAAUUACAAACAGGAGGGAAAUACACCAGAUGUAUCAAAAAUUGUCGCUCCCCUCACUCACAAUUGGAUCCCACAAAAUCUGGGAGGUACUAAUAUCUUCUAACGGAUAUAUCAUAACAAAAAUCACCAGCUCAUCAUUCAGGAGAAUUUUACACACAUACCCCUCAUCCUUGCCCUAUAAAUAAGACCAUUACGCCAGAUGAAAAAGGAGAAUACACAUUGUUACUCUGCCAAAAGCUCACCAGAACCAUUUACAUAAAGCUCAAUUUUUCUAAAAUUUAAGUUAGAGUUUCACACUGAAACUCUGAUCUAAGUGAGCUCAGACCCUAAACGAGACAACAAACAUCAUCCAAAAUAAGGCAAGAAGAAGGUUAAAAAGGAGAGCAUUUAAAAAUAAAUAGAAGACUUAUCUGAAUCACGCCAGAGAAGAUAUCGCCGUCGGACCAACUCCGAUCAAGUAUUCUUCUUUUUCCUUCUUUUGCCUAAAAUUUUCAUACCAUUACAUUCGCCUUGUUGAACUGAUUAAGAACCCUUUGUUAAUUGCACCGAAUUGCUACUGUUGAGGAUUUAAUUUCAAAUUUAGGGUUUGUGUUUGAACUUGUUUUUCUGUUGUUGUUGUUUCGAUUUGGUCGUUAAGAGGAGUUAUGGGUUUUGUUUGGUUGUAUUGAGGUUCGUUUUUGUUGAGAUUUGAAUUUUUGCGUUUCAUUUGUAGUUUCGAUCCGGGUGUUUGAGAGAGAUUCAGGAAAAGGGGAGGCCGGAUUUGGGUACCUUGGCCAAGAAAAAAGGGGGUUGGUGUUUGUUGUUUUGAGUUAUGAGGUGGGUUCGCCGGAGAAGAAGGUGGCGCCGCUGCUGGUGGCCGGUAACCACUGUCUUCUCCGAUGGGGUAUGACCGGAGAGGAGGGUCUUCACUUGCAGAGCGAAUUAGCUCUGAAGUGAAGAGAGAUAAAGGAGUUCACAAAAUGAACCCGUUUUCUCAAGGCCAGGUUUAAAUACCCGUGCCUAGCCAAUUGCAUGAGCGCUAAGUGUCUCUCAUGUGGUAGGUCGCGUUUGUGCUUGACUGUUGGUCAACCAAGCGAUUCUGUGUGGACUUCCCACGAUCCCUUAUUGUGCUCCCCCAGCAGACCUGUCCAGUUCGUUUGACCAAGUCAAAUCUAGGGAUCUGAUGGUCAAGAGCGUUCGCUUGGAGUCAACAAAGUUGACUGGACUCAGCAUUUUUCCCUUGGGUUUGGGCCUCCGGUUUGGGCUCAAAGAACCACUUAUGGCUAAUUAAACCCCCAUAUUGUUCUGUAAUGCGCCCAAAUUUGGGCUUUUUCUACUUUAAGCCCAUUUUUAUUUUAUUAUUUGUUGUUCAUCUAUUUUCUUUUCCAUUAUUUUUUUAUAUACAUGUAAAAUAUAAAGAGAGUUAUUGCUAUAAAAUAAUAACAUUUUUAUUUUUAUUUACUUAAUUAUUAUUUUAAUGCUUUACUUGUUAAUUUAAAUUUAAUCUUUGGUUUAAUUUGUAGAAUUUGUUUGAGCUAUCAUUUUAUAUGUGCUUGAUUAAACUCACUUGCGCAAUUCCUAGAUUCAUAUAAACCAUGAUUUAAGUUAUAUUUUCAUAAUGACCUUCAUCCCUUAAUCACCUUAAUUGUUAUAUUAAACCAUUUAAAAACCACAUACUUCUUAAUUCAAUGUUGAGAUCAUCCUUCCAUACCCUUGUAAGUCGAUUGCUUUCACGCAUCGCCAUCAACCUCACAUAGCUUACUCUUGGGCUUCCUUACAAUGAGGCAUAUUCGGUUAUUAAAUAAUCGAUUAGAUGAUUGAUUCACUAAAUAAUCCAAUUUAUUCACAAAAAACACAAAUUUAAAACCUUGAUCCAACAUCAAGUAUUUUUAUUCAAAUUAAUUUAAAACACCCAAUUAUGAUUAAAUAACAUUUCAUAAUAACGAAAUGAAAAGGGGGAUGGUUUUGAAUUUUCAACUCCUCUCCUCGAUCAUUUGAAUAUGAGUUCUCUUACUCAGCUAGUCAAAUAAUCUUCGUUUCUAACUCGCCCAAACUUAACCUAGUCAAGUUACUUUCAUGAUAACGAAAUGAAAAGGGGGAUGGUUUUAAGCCUUUAACUCCUCCCCUCGAUUGUUUGAAUACGAGUUUUCUUACUCGGUCAGUUAGACACUCAUCGUUUCUUUGCAAGCUCCUAAAUCUGAUUAAAUCAAAACACUCUUAUAAUAAGUUAACUGAAAAGGGAGAUGACUUUGAGCCUUCAACUUCUCUCCUCAAUUGAUUGAAUACGAGUUCUCUUACUCGGUUAGUCAAACAAUUGUCAUUGUUCCAUCAACUUAUAACUUAAUCAAAUCAUUUUCACAAUAAACUAUACGAAAAAGGAGAUGGUCUUGAGCCUUCAAUUCCUCUCCUCAAAUGCUUGGAUAUGAAUUCUCUUACUCAACCAUUCGAGCACUUGUCGUUUAUUCUAAACUACAUCAACGAUACACAAACCUAUUUUCAUAAUCACUCAGAUGAAAAAGAAAGUGGUCUAGAGUCUUCUAUUCCCUUUUCUGAAUAUUAGGAUACAAGUUGUCUUACUCGACUAUCCGAGUAUUCGUCAUCCGUUCAAAAACACCUUACCUAUUAUUAAAUCCUUUUUACAAUUAAGGAUGAAAAGGGAGAUGGUUUAGAGCCUUCGAUUCCUCUCCUCGACUAUUAGGAUACGAGUUGUCUUACUCGACUAUCCGAGUAAUCUUCAUCCAACAAAAAUAUCUUAACACAUCAAAUACAUCUCUGUCUCAUCCCCGUGCAAUCAAAACCAAUCAAACAAAACAUCAAAAAUAUUAACUCAACUUGUCACCCCCGUGUGACCAAAACUCUUUUAAAAAAAGAACAUUGUUAAUCCUUUCUAAUGCGCGUAACAAACUAGUGUUUAAGCCUCCGUCGAGAGUAGACAAGCCAAUGUUUAGCCUUAGGACGCGGUCUAAACAGUCAUUCCUUAAAAGACACCAACCAACCUGUUAGUACCUUAAGAUUGGCAUUAAUUUUGUAAAAUAAAUAAUGUACUCACCUCUGUUGUUUUAAUAUGUUGGGUUGAAGAAGUUCAACAUCUGGACCAACAUGUCAUGUAAGAUGUCACGACAUCGGGACUGUGACAUCUCACAUGUGUAUCAAACUGAAUCAGUUAAUUCUGGUUUUGGUUUGUGAUUAAUUAGGAGAUUGGUGAAUAUCCUAACUCCUAUGUGAAGAUCUUGAAGAUUCAAUCAGAAGAUUUGUUGAAUAUACAGUUUCCGAAUAUGAAGAUAUUUUAGGAACUAAAAGAUUGAUUGAAGACUUGAUUGUAGCAGAAGAUUUCUGCCAGCUCUGUAACAGCAAGAAAAGAUUUGUUGCGAUUUCUGAAGGCGCCAAAUCCAGUUGGGUGAUUAGGUUAUAAAUAGUAGAUUGUAACCUAAGGUUUUGUAAGCCUCAAACAAUGUAAAAAUUAGGGGUAUGUGUGGAGGUAAACCUCCCAACCUGUGGGAAGGUUACCAAGUGUUUCUCAGUGCUUGAAAGUAUGAGAUUAUUUGUAACUCAAAGCCUGUAGGCAAGAGUUGUUAAUGUUCCUGAACGAAGCUAUGAAGCAAGUUCAGGUUGUUUAACAUUACAUGGUAAUUGUUGUGAUAGGAAUGGAAACUGGAGGUUUCUAUCUAGGAGUUCCUAGGUAUAGAUUGCAUUGGGUAGGGAUUAAGUGAAGAGUUGUAAAACGGGGGAGUUUAACUCUGAAUUAAUACUGCUAAUAGUGGAUCUUCUUCCUGGCUUGGUAUGCCCCCAGAGUAGGUAAUGUUGUACCGAACUGGGUUAACAAUUGCUGGUGUUUUUACCUUCUGCACACUAUAUUUUGUCUGUUAUAAUUCAAUCUGUUUCUAGUCUGGUUAUGAAGGGAAUAACAUACUUGACACAUAGCCUGCAGUCUGAUUGCAAAACAGAAUGUUAUGACAUUCAUUAUUGACUGUUGUUACUGAUAGACUGGUUAGUCUGUUACAGUUCAUCCAUCUGUAAUGUUGUGACAGAUGAUGUUUAAAACAAUUUUGAGACAUCAUGCUGAAAACUGGGCAGGAUCAAUAAACAUAAGGGCUAUGUUUGAUCUCUACUGCGUGUUUGCACUAGAUGGACAAAACUGGAUGUUCUUCUUUCCAUGGUGGUAUGUUAGCAGAUGUCUUGACAUUUGUGGCUGAGUGCACAUGAGUACUGGGGUUUAAUUUUUAUAACAGUCUUGUUGUAUUAGUAACAAUGUUGGAUCAGAUGUCAUGACUUCGUAUAGAACAUCUGAACUCUGACUAUACCAGAAUUUCAAUUGGUAUCAGAGCAAGCAUCAUGUUCUGUUUCUGGAUGAGAUCCAUGGGUGAUACUUUCUGGUAUCUUGCAAGGAGUUAUGUCAGUACUAUUGGUGGAACCUGUGGAAGGUUAUGUGAUUCCCAUGAAUGGUCCCUUGAAGUAGGUGGUUGGACUAUUCAUGACAGGAACUAUGUGUACCUGUCUCUGGAGGCUGGCAAUUGGCCUUUAUGUGGAACAGUUGUGCUAGUAUUGAAACAUAUUCAAACUUGGUAUGUUCUUGGAGGCUGAUCUGGUGAAGUGUGUGGUCAUAGGUUGAGUUGUAUUAUGAUUUUCGCUGCAUAAUACCUGGAAAAACUCAAACUCUGAUGUAGUUUCCCCUCAUGUGGAUGAAAGGCUGUUGUAUUCAAGAUUUCAUCAUAAUCUACUGAAGAUGUCAAAGAUACUUGAGGCUCCUCAAGUCCACUCAUCAUGACAUUCUCACUUCAGGAUGGUAAGAAUCACCUGAUCACUGAUUCUUUUACUCUCUUGGGUAGUGUAUAUGAAGACCUUGAAGAUUUUCAAGAAGGGUCUGUUCCAAGGAUGUGAAACUAAUGUUCUAUACGAUGUUAGAACAUGAUAGGUCAACAAGUAUGCAGCUACUGGUUGAAGAGCAGAUGUUUUUAGGUGUCAAACAAAGGGAUACUUGUGUUUGGAACCUACUCCUGACCUGGAAGAGGAGACAUCUGUGGGAGCUAAGUUGACAAGGGUAGGUGUCAAACAAAGGGAUACUUGUGUUUGGAACCUACUCCUGACCUGGAAGAGGAGACAUCUGUGGGAGCUAAGUUGACAAGGGUAGGGUCAACUAUGAGUAUGCUCAAGAAGGUCACUUUUAGAAGUCUGAUCUCUUAAAGUGGAGCUGGUUAAAAUGUGACAUUGUGCAACCUCAUGUUGUCUGUCUUGGAUAGUUGCUCCUGGAAGUACUAUGUUGUGUUGGAAGACAUGUCCCCUAGAUGUUAGAAGUCAAUAAUGGGGGAACCUGAUUGCUAUAUCAUUUAGGAGGAUUAGAACCAUGAAUCUUGUAAUUCAAACACCACGCUCAGAAGUGGCAGUUCUUUCAAGGAGUGAGAAUAUGAAGAUUCAGAGAUUGGUUGAGGUAGUAUGCUCUGGCAAUGCAUAUCUACUAUUGACGAGUGUUGUUGUCUUUCACCAGUACUUAUGGUCAGCUGGAGUCUGAUUGGAGUGAUUGAAGUAUGUAGAGGUUUAACUCAGAGAGUUAGUUGCAACCAAUAAGGGUGAUGUAUGUCAUGUUGAGACAGUAGUGUACAAUGCAUGGAUAUUGGUGUGGAGUUUCCAUGAUUGUUAAUUUGAGGGGGAGUUUUGGUUAACCUCCUCACGUUUGGUCAGCCUAGGGUCUGGUUGGCUGUUGACCUGUGUCACAUGGGUUCUGGUGGUUGUGUGACACAUUUGCAAGGAAGAAUUCAUCUCUCUCAUUCCUAAGGUGAAUUUAAUCUGGGAAGUUUUCAAAAUGUUGAGUGCUUGCAAGCAGAAGAUGUUGACACUAAGAAGAGUAUUUUCAAAAGUAUUCUUAUGGUAGAAGUAUCUGAAAGGAAUAUUGGGAAAGGAUUUAAGAUCAAUGUCUACUUGUGUCAAGUACAAGUAUUUAAUUGAUUAUCCUUGGAGCUCAAGAUAACUGAUGUUUUUAAAGAUGUUGGAACAUCUCAUCUUCAAGAUCCUGUGCAGAAUCACGGGAAGGAUAGUACAUUGGAUUAUGAUCUAUCACUUUGGUGGAAGCAAAAGCAUAUGAUCUCUGAAAAGGUUUCCUGGCAAGAAACAUGUUCAGCCUUGACGUGUACAAGAAGAAGAAAACAUCAUAGUCCUGAUGGUGGUUACUUGGAUCAGGUUACUUCUGAUCUAGGUAAGGAAGUGCAUUGGCUAAUGCACACUGUGGAGUUAAGAAUAAGUGGCAGCAUUCUUGACAUCAUGGAAGCAGCUUUGCUUUAGGAAGUGUAAACCUUGGUAUAGUUGAAGGGACAGUUUCUAACUAGUCCUUCUGAAGACUCAUGCAUCAGAGUGUCUGAUGUCUUUGGAGAAGAAGCAGGGAUUCAUCAAGGUAUGAGCUUGGAUGACUUAACUGCAAACCUGCAGGAUGGAGGAUGUUUACUCAAACUUGGUUCCACAAUCAAGUCUAUGAGAACAUUGAACUCUUGUUCUGUGAAAUGUUUACUCAAACUUGGUUCCACAAUCAAGUCUAUGAGAACAUUGAACUCUUGUUCUGUGAAGGGAGGAAGUUCUUUCAAGUGGCAGAAGAAGGAGCUGAAUUCAACAGCUAAAUGUCAAAACACAAGGUUAUGACAUUUGGUUCAACAUCAGAAUCUUAGUUGGUGAAGUGGCACAUCAACUUGAGAUAGAAGGGUCUACAGGGUUGUAGAUUGGAUACUUCAAGAAGCUUGAAGGUCAAGUCUCACUUGGAAGAUCAGAAUAUCUUUGGGAGAAGUCUAAUAAACGUGGAGAGGUCAAAGAAUGGCAUUUGACUUUUUCAUAUGAGGAUUCACGAAGGAGGUAAUCAACCAGUGGCAUUUGGUCUAUCUCAGAAGUGAGUUCGAAGGAUCAAGACAAUCAACUUAUGGUAGCUGAUUAUUCUUGAGGAAGGUCUGAGAUAAAUUACUUUGAGCAGAAAAGUAGUAAGUUGAAGACAUAAGGAGGUGUUUCCUUUUCAUCUCUUGGAGCUUGUGAAAGGAGCUUUGAGCUAUCUAUGGAAUAUUAUCUCUUGUAAUGGGAUGAGAAUGUAUAUGUCCCAAUUUGUGUCUGGGUUCGUGUGGAUCAAGCCAAUGACUCAGUGAUAUCUGAAGAUUAUCAGAUGGUGUUAUGUUGGGAAGUGGUUUUCUGUUCUGGUUAGAAGAGAGAUUGACACAGAGUAUGGAUGUGUUCAGCCAAGAGGGUUGAACAGAGGGUGUGCUCUUGAAGACAUGAUUGAAGACAUGAAGAUGCGUCUUAUGUUUUCCAUUCAUCAAGUGGUCUGGGUUCUCCUUUGAAUCAGGAAGUUUGUAAAGGUCCAACUUUGGGGUGUUGGAUAUGUUUAUUUGUGAUCUCCAUGUUUUAGAGGAGAGUUGGUUGUUCAUGACAGAGGGAGUUCUAUCUUUGCACUGCAAGUAAUCAUCAAGCUUGUGGUCUAUGUGUUCUCAGAUAACAAGGUAUGGAACCUUGUUAGUUAGGGGGAUGAUGUGGUGUGUGUCAAGGCUGAGUGAGCAGAAGAAUGUCUGACCGGAUGUCAUGACAUUGCCUUGGACAAUAUUAUUAUUUCCUUCUGAAACUUACAGUCAUAAGGGAAUAUGGAAGCAGAUGUCAGUAUGACAUUCUGGCUAUUACAGGUGCUGGAGCUACAGUAGCUGUUAUUUGAUGUAUGCACAGAUUUAGGGGGAGAAGUAGUACCCUUGUGCAUUGAGCAUUUGUGUGUCUUACUAGUUGCAUCCAUAACUAGUAAUUCUGUUGUUGUUGCACAGAUUUAGGGGGAGGAGAAGUACCCUUAUGCAUAUGUGUAUUACUAGUAGCCAUAGCUAGUAAUUGUUUUGCUUCUGCUGCUAAUUAAACUACUGUUUAGUGGUUUAACUACUGAUAGUUUGCCUUGUGAACAAAAAGGACAUAGUGUUCACAAGAUGUCAUAUGUGAUGUCUUAACAUAAGAUAUCCUAUGUUCCUGCUGGAAGCUAUUUAAGGAAAUGUGGAUGUGUGGUGCUAGGUGUCAAGCUACCACUAGAGAUGAGAAAGUGGUCUUAGGGAAUGGUGACAGGGAGAAUAUAUGGAGAAUGCAGACAAAAGCAGUAUCAAAUGUUAAGACAUAGCUUGUAACGUGUCUGACAACAUUUAUGGAAUAGUCUUGGAACUGCUGUUUCUAGAAACAGUCAAGGCUGGUAAAAAGGUAUUUCAAAAGAAUUGUCUGGGAUAAUUUGGUGGUAUUAUCUGACUGAUUCUCAGCAAAUAUUUAUGGAUCUUGACCAAGCAUUUACUCCUACCGUUAAUUCCUAAGCAUGGUCUGGCCUAUUUAAAGGAUGUAUCAGCACUCCUCUUCUCACAAGAACGACACUGCAUUCCCUCUAAACCAUGGGGUUUGUUAAAAUCUGGGCAUACUGCUCCUGGAUCUGGUUUUGUGAAGGUGUCAUAUAUAAAUGUUUAGCUAAAAAGGGGGAGAGAAACAUUGUCCUGAGGAUGCACCAGAAGCAAGCAACAUCUGGUAGCAAGGAGAAGAUGGAUUCAGACACAAAAAUCACUAACUGGGUUCAUCAGUUGUGUGUUGUGAUUUGAGUUAAGAAGACAGUUGUGUCUUGUGAUCUGAGUUACAUUAGCUAUGUACUCAGCAUUACAUAUUCUUCAGGAAGCCCUACUGUUGAGGGGAAGGGUUGUGGUGAAGCUGAUUCUUGUACACCUUCUUCCUCAUGUAUACCAACAGUGGUGGUGGCAAUGGGGCUGUCAUUGACAAGGAGGAAGUGCAGACCCAUAGUGGGUUAUUUGUUUUAGCUAAAAUUUGCCAAAGGGGGAGAAUGUUAGUACCUUAAGAUUGACAUUAAUUUUGUAAAACAAAUAAUGUACUCACCUCUGUUGUUUUAAUAUGUUGGGUUGAAGAAGUUCAACAUCUAGACCAACAUGUCAUGUAAGAUGUCACGACAUCGGGACUGUGACAUCUCACAUGUGUAUCAAACUGAAUCAGUUAAUUCUGGUUGGUUGUGAAUUACGCGAGUGGCUGCCCAUCCUCAACCUCCUAGUGAAGAUCUUGAAGAUCUCAAUCAGCGACAUUGUUGACUUACAGUUUUUCCAAAAUGAGAUAUUUCUAGGAACUAAGCAAGAUUGAUUGAAGACCUUGAUUGUAGCAGAAGAUUUCUGCAGCUCGUACACAGCCAAAGGAAAAAUGCUGCGAUUCUCGAGGCCCAAAUCCAGUUGGCUGAUUAGUUAUAAAUAGUAGAUUGUAACCUAGGUCUUUGUAAGCCUCAAACAAUGUAAAAUUAGGGGUAUGUGUGAGGUACCCUCCCACCUGUGGGAGGUUACCAAGUGUUUCUCAGUGCUUGAAGCAUGAGCAUUAUUUGUAACUCAAAGCAUGAGGCAAGAGCUUUGUCUGAUCCCGAUGGCUAUGAAGCAAGUUCAGGUUGUUUAAACAUUACAUGGUAAUGUUGUGAUAGGCAAUGGAAACUGGAGGCUUUCUAUCUAGGAGUUCCUAGGUAUAGAUUGCAUUGGGUAGGGAUUAAGUGAAGAGUUGUAAACGGGGGAGUUUAACUCUGAAUUAAUACUGCUAAUAAUGGAUCUUCUUCCUGGCUUGGUAUGCCUCCAGAGUAGGUAAUCUUGUACCAAACUGGGUUAACAAUUGCUGGUGUUUUUACCUUCUGCACACUAUAUUUUGUCUGUUAUAAUUCAGUUUGUUUCUAGUCUGGUUAUGAAGGGAAUAACAGACUUGACACAUAGCCUGCAGUCUGAUUGCAAAACAGAAUGUUAUGACAUUCAUUAUUGACUAUUGUUACUGAUAGACUGGUUAGUCUGUUAUAGUUCAUCCAUCUGUAAUGUUGUGACAGAUGAUGUUUAAAACAAUGUUGAGACAUCAUGCUGAAAACUGGGCAGGAUCAAUAAACAUAAGGGUUAUGUUUGAUCUCUACUGUGUGUUUGCACUAGAUGGACAAAACUGGAUGUUCUUCUUUCCAUGGUGGCAUGUUAGCAGAUGUCUUGACAUCUGUGGCUGAGUGCACAUGAGUACUGGGGUUUAAUUUUUAUAACAGUCCUGCUGUAUUAGUAACAAUGUUGGAUCAGAUGUCAUGACUUCGUAUAGAACAUCUGAACUCUGACUAUACCAGAAUUUCACAAUCGUAGUCCCCGAACUACGAAUGCUCUGAUUUCCUUAUUGCACCAUAAGGAUACGUAGGUACGAGAUUGCAAGAUCUUGGCGAGCACACUAAUAAAAAACCUCCAUUUUCCCCCUUUCUGAGGUUUCCAUCCAUCUCUUGUCAAUAUCUUAAUCAGUCGAAGAAAACAAACAACAUAAGUUAAACAUUCAAAUCAAAAAUUAAACUAAAAGGUUCCCGUUGAGUACAAAGGACGUGAGGGGUGCUAAUACCUUCCCCUUGCGUAAUCGACUCCCGAACCCGAAUAUGGUUGCGACGAUCAUUAUUCUAUUUUCAAAGGUUUUAUCGAUAUUUUCCUAUUCCUUCGUUGGGAUAAACAAAGUUCGGUGGCAACUCUGUUCGAACAUAAUAUCGUAUUUUUCGAGAUACGACAGAUGGCGACUCUUUUAGGGAUACUAGCUCCAAGCAAGAGAGAGUGAAGCCUAACUUAGUUUCAAUUCAUGUAUUGAGUGUAAACCUUGUUUGUUUGUUAUCUUUAUUCUAUUAUUAUUGUAUCAUAAUUAUUGUACUGUGAUUUAUGGAUUAUGUCUUAUUUGGGGCUCUCUAGUUAGUGGUGCUUUGUGAGAUAUGCUCUCUACCCGAGUCUGAGAAAAACCAUAAGUUUAAGUUGGUGGUUGUGUAGUGGACGCCCACAAGGAGUCUUCCUUGUUGGGACGAUACGAAGACCCCUCCUAGAGGAGAUUCUCUUGAGAUAUUGUUUCCCGACGAGUCUUCGUCACGAUGAUAGUAUUCUCAAGUUGGAUCAAUGACUCUAGGGACCUUUUAACCCACUAUAUUCGGCGGUUAUGUAGUGUUUACCUAAAAAGUAUCAGACUUGUUGGGUUAACAGGAAAUCCCCAACCAGAUGAGAUCCCUUGGAUGUAUUAUUACCUUACAAUAAUAUUUCUAACCCCGAUCUGUGACUCUGAGAACCUUGUUAGAACCUUGGACUCGAGAGUUGCGUAGUAUGGACCCACUAGGAGUCUUCCUCUUUGGGACCAUAUGAAGAUCUCACCCAGACGAGACUCCUUUUAGGGACGUUAUUGUCAGAUGAGCCUUCGUCAUGACAAUAACCAUCCUAAAUAGUGAUUGAUGACUUUGGGAACCUACUAACUUUAGUACCUUCCAAAAGGGUUGUUUAGUAAUCAAGGAUACCCACUCUUAUGGCCCGUAUGUUAACUUACCUGUAGCAUGCAUAAAAAACAUUAUUCAUAACAUGACAUUCAUAUUAUUUUAUUUCCAAGGAAUCUGAGCCUCAUAAGUUGCAGGAAUUCAAGAAGCAUGGAAUCAAGCAAAAGAAACAUUUACUCUUUCAAGUUUAAGGAUCCCGAUCUAAGAAGCUUGCAUGACUUGGUCUCCCAAAUGCACCUUGUAUACAUAAUCUAUUUUGGGAAAAACUAUGGCAAUCUGCUCAGUAUCCUCAACUAAAGAGUGGACCAUACAACCUUAGUCACUCUGGCCCAAUUCUAUGAUUUGCCUUUAAGGUGUUUCACGUUCCAAGAUUUUCAGCUAGCACCAAUGCUGGAAGAAUUCGAGCGUCUUGUUAGGAUUCCUAUGAAGAACAAGCCAUUGUUUGAAGGGGUGGAUGAAUCUUUGCCACCUGAAGUCAUUGCUAGAGCGCUUCACAUGGACGAGAGGGACUAAGGCUAACCUAGAGGUUAAAGGGAAUACCAAAGGGUUUUCACUAAGUUUUCUCUUGGAAAGAGCUCAUACCUUAUUAAAAGUGGAAAGUUGGGACGCUUGUUACUCUGCUAUUGCUUUGGCUAUCUAUGGCAUCAUCCUGUUCCCAAAUAUGGAUGGUUUCAUAGACAUGGCUGCUAUUGGCGUCUUCCUCACUGAAAAUCCAGUGCCCACCUUGUUAGCUGACAUCUACUAUUACAUGAGCCAUAGGUACACCAAAAAGAAGGGAAUUAUUGCUUGUUGUUCUCCUUUAUUAUACCAUUGGUUCGUAGAACAUCUUCUGAAGACAGCUGUUUAGGUAAAACAGACAGACGCUAGUUGGCCUCAGCGGUUGGGGUCACUCCGAUCCGAAGAUCUUUCUUGGUAUCUCAAGGAAUAUAUUGGCAUGGACAUCAUAUUCAAUUGUGGAGACUUUCCUAAUCUACCACUCAUUGGAACUCAAGGAUGUGUCAAUUCUAACCUGAUUCUAUCACUAAGACAACUUGGGUACCCAAUGGAAGGUCCUCCAGAUGUGAUAUCUUUGGAAGCUUUCUUGUUGCAUAACUUAGGGGUUGAGAAUCCUAGCUUAUUCCAAAGAAUCAGAGAGGCUUGUAAGAAUGUCAAUCGAAAAGGGAGGGCUGAUUUGGGAAGAGCUAAUGAGAUUACAAAAGAACCAUAUUUUCAUUGGGUAAAGGAAAGGGUGAAGGUGAUCAAAAUGCCAUUCGUCACUCGGAUACCCAUACCUCCUCCUGAGCCUAAACUCACCAAUAUCCCUGUUGAAGAGGUUUAUGAACUCAUGGCCACCAUGGCAAAAUUAGAAAGAGAAAAUGAAGAGUUUAAGUUAAAACUCCAACAAGUCACCAAUGAGAAAAACACAAUGAAGUGGGAACUUGAGAGAAAGGAUGUACAACUUCAGGAAAAUAUGGAAAAUUUUAACAAUGAGGAGCAUAAAAGGAAAAAGAUCAAAGUGGGACUAGAACAAGCUGACCUUUGUCUAGAUACUCUUAAGGGUCAACUACGGCAAGCCCAGAAAGAAUGUCAAGACAAUGAGCAUUGGUGGCACCUUGCCACGAAGGAAAACAAGAAGAUAAGAGACACACUUGGGGCUCAGAUAAAAGAAUUCACCAUUUAUGUUCGUCACACAAAAGCUGAAGCAGAUCAAGAACGCCGACUCAAGGAUGUAGCCACCGAAGCCUCUAGAGUCUCACCCAAAAUAUGGGAAGAGAAGUGUCGAAAAGUAAGAGAUGCAAAAGAGUAUGCCAGCUAUUGGAAGAGUCAGCUAGAGUCAUUACACCAAGACUUCUCCAUAUGGUUGAAAUAAAGGGAGUAUGUGAUCGAAGAUUAUGAAUCCUUUAAGAAGACCAUUGACUUCUUACAAGGAGAUAUGGAUAAUUACCAUGCAAAGCUCGAUGGGAUGGCGGGGUUCUGUAAUUGGGAAGCUAAAGACCUGCCAUGGAAAUUAAGAGAUGAAGUUGAAGAGUUGAAGGAAGAUAACAUUCCUCCAUCCAUAAUCAAUUUCAUUUUGCUUAGUAGAGGGUUAUUGAGGAGAUUCAAGGAAGAGCUAGAAGAACUCUGAGCCAGAAAGCCUGCAGUUUAAUUUUCAUAUGUCUUGUAUUCUGUCCUUUGACAAUGUAUUUUGAAUGAGGGUUUUUUUGGAUCCCUAUGUUAUGUACUUGAAUGAAUUAUAUUUAAAUUGCUUCAUUAUUGCUCUAUUUUGGUAUUUCUUGCUUCUCCAAAUUGCUAACAACUAAUGAAACUCGAAUGAUCCCCUGAAAAUAAAAUAUGCAUAGCAUUCACAUUCGCACUAUGCAUCAUUCAUCAUAAGAAACUCAAAAGACUUACACAACCUUCUUACCCUAUAUCUAGUGACGUUGGCUAAUCAACACCGAUACGAGACGCGAAGCAACUACAAGAUGACGUUGGAGCAAGUUGAGGCUAACCAAGCCACCAUGAGGACGGACAUUACUGCGAUCCAAGAAAAGAUGGAUCAACUGUUGGAAACAAUGCUAGCAAUUGCCCAAAGAGAGAGGGUUGCGGAUGCAGAAAUUGGAACAAGGAAGAACGACAGGCACAUUGGCACGUUAGGACUAGUCCAUCAAGACGAAAGCUUCACUCAUGCUAAGAAGGGCUUGGUUCAUAUACCUGUAGAAAACAAGGGAGAGGGAGAUCAUGUAGAGUCUUCUAAUGUGUCUGCUCAUUAUGGGUCGGAAAUGGGAGGAGAUGAUCCAUAUGAUGCUUUUUAUGAACCCUAUCCACCCAAGCCUAAAGUUCUUCCAGAUUCUGCUGCAGAAAGGCUUCGGCCUUGGAAAAGAAGAUCAAAGCUAUAGAGGGGAAUAACAUCUUUGGUUCCGUUGCCAUGUACAUGCGAUUGGUGUCAAAUUUGGUCAUCCCGGCUAAAUUUAAAACUCUUAAUUUUGAGAAAUACAAAGGCCAGACUUGCCCAAGAAGUCAUCUGGUAAUGUACUUCAGAAAAAUGGGUGCCCACACUGAAAAUGACAAGCUGCUUAUACACUGUUUCCAAGACAAUUUAAGUGGAGCAUCCCUAAGAUGGUACAUGAGCUUAGAGCAAGGGCGAAUUCAAAGUUGGGAAGACUUGGCUGACGCAUUCCUCCGUCAAUACAAAUACAACUUGGAUAUGGCACCCGACUGGAUGCAACUACAAGGGAUGGCCAUGAAUGAAAAAGAGUCAUUUAAAGAAUACGUCCAACGAUGGAGAGAGUUGGAUGCUCAAGUGGAGCCACCAUUUUCAGAAAAAGAAAUGACUGGAAUAUUUGUAGACACACUGAAAGACCCUUUCUUUGAUAGAUUGGUAAGCAGUGCGGCGUCAGACUUUGCGCAUCUAGUGACAAUUGGAGAUCGCGUAGAAAAAGGCUUAAGGGAUGGAAAGAUCCAAGGAGAUGUGGCAGCCCUUAGUGCACUGAAAAAGUAUUCUGGAGGCUUCCAGAAGAAAAGAGAAGGUGAUGCAAAUGCUAUAUCCAAAGGUUACAAGGGGAAGCAACAUGCUUCAUAUAGCCAAGUCGCCGCAGUAAUGCCCAUACCCUACCAGCAACCAAUACAACAACAACAAGUUUAUCAACAACAACAUCCACAAUAGCGUCAACAACAGAAUACCGUUCCACCAAGACAAUUCAAGCCAAGGCACACGCGAAGGCAACUUGACCCUUUACCAGUGCCUUAUAGCCAAAUAUUCCCAUACUUGCAAAAGGAGGGACUUUUGACUUUGAAAGAACUAAACCAGGCUAUUUUUCCAUAUCCACCCGGAUAUGAUGCUAACGCCCAUUGUGAGUUUCAUAUGGGAGCAACUGACCAUACCCUGGAAAAUUGUUUUGCAUUUUAGAAUCGGGUACAAGACCUAAUUGAAGAUAAGGUCGUUGUCUUCACUCCAAGACGCCCGAACGUGAACACCAAUCCCAUGCCAACACAGGGAUAUGCUUCAGUCAGCACCAUUGAGGAGAGUGAUAAAGGUGAAUUGAUCCGUAAAGUUGAAGAAAUUCAAACUCCUAUCGCCAUGAUAGGUACACAACUGCUGAAGAGUGGUCUGAUCCCGGUGGGGUUAGUUGAUGAAGAAAAUGACGGAGAUUUGAAAAAAUUUAUCCAACGAAUGUUGGAUCAAGGCGAACUACAGAUCGAACGUCGUGUCAAAGGCAGGAAGGAGGAAGAAAUAGUGGUGGUUGACAUUCCGUAUGAUGCAUUUAAUGUGGAAAUCCCUAUAAACCCAUUAGUGAUAGAAUUUCCAGCACCCUUCGCGUAUGAGGACGAGAAGGCAGUACCAUGGAUAUAUCAUCCCAAAGGUUUUAAGCAGGGGCAGGAAGACUGACCUUUGGUUAUCAAUGAACCAAAUGUCACUUCAAUCAUAGGACCAACUGGAAUGACGCGCAGUGGCCGAGUGUUUGCACCAAGGGCUGCUGCUACUUCUGCCAAGACUAAAGGGAAGGAAAUUGCUACUCCUGUCCAAAUCUUCGUCCCUAAUCUGGAAAUGCAAGAAAUGUAUCAAUCUCCUAAAGUUGCUUUCACCCGUGAAGAGGCAAAGGAAUUCCUAAGGAUAAUAAAGAAAAUUGAUUACAAAGUAGUGGACCAAUUGAAUCAAACCUCAUCAAAGAUCUCCAUGUUGUCCUUACUACUCAACUCAGAAGCACAUAGAGACUCAUUGAUGAAGGUAAUAAGCGUUGCGCAUAUCACGAAGGACAUAACGGUGGAGCAAUUUGAUGACGUAAUAGCUUGUGUAACCACAAAAAAAUUCUUGGGGUUUAAUGAUGACGAGUUGCCGAUUGAAGGAAAGAAUCAUAACAAAGCUCUACACAUCUCCUUAAUAUGCAUAUACACUAUAUUGUCAAGAGUGUUAGUAGACACGGGUUCCUCGCUGAAUGUCAUGCCAAAAACUAAUUUGGUAAAACUAUCGUUGGAAGGAAUGAAUAUAAAACCCAACACUCUAAUAGUAAAAGCGUUUGAUGGCUCAAGACGAGCAAUGAUAGGGGAGGUUGACCUACCAAUUAAGAUAGGCCCAACUAUCUUCACUAUUACAUUCCAGGUCACGGACAUACACCCCGGAUAUAAUUAUUUACUUGGGAGACCGUGGAUUCAUUCUGCAGGCGCAAUCACUUCCACUUUACAUCAGAAACUAAAAUUCAUCACAAAUGACAAGAUGAUUGUGAUUGGUGGAGAAGAAGAUAUCCUGGUUAGCCACUUAACUUCUUUCCGAUAUAUUGAAGUGGAUGGCAAGAUCACCGAGACACCAUUCCAAUCCUUGGAGGUGGUAAAUGUAAUGGUUGUUCAGCAGACAUUUGAGACACCAAAAUCGGGACCAUCUAUGGCCUCGUGGCAAAGAGCUAAGGUUGUUAUAGAGAGUGGGAAUGCAAAAGACUGGGGAAAGGUGGUGGAAGUACACGAGAAACAGGACAAAUUUGGUUUGGGGUAUGAACCAUCGUUGGAUGAAGUCGGUGACCAACAUAACAAGGAGAAGCUUCCUUCUGUAGAAGAGACAUUCACCAGUGUUGGCCAUAUCUUUAGCAAUCAAGUGGCGAUGAUCAAUGAGGAAGCGUAUGAAGAGGGGGUGUCUAACUGGAUACGACAGGCCAUGCCCGACUAAGAACUGAAGAACUGGAAGGCUGUGGAAAUUCCCCAAUUUUUUCAAAAGUAAUUUUAUUAUUUUAAUCAAAACCCUGUGCUCUGCCCAAGGCACAAUGGCAUGUUGUAGGGCCUCCUUUAUCUUAUAGAAGUUUUGAUUAUCAUUAAUAAAAUGGCGAUUUGCAUUCAAGUUUUUGUUCCUUUCCUUUCAUUUUUUAUUACAAUAAAAAUGGAAUUAAUUCUUAUGCACGCAUUUUCUAAAUAAACUGCAUAAAUCAUAACAUGCAGAGACACCACCGAGACCAUUGAUAACGAUACUGCUAGGUGUCGCAACGCGAAAAACAACCGGCGGGGAAAAUACAGAGCCGCCACCGACGCUAUUCAUCCUAUGACGGAAAGGGAGCGCAAGACUAACCUAAGAAAGGGAAAGGAACGGUCUUACGACCAGAGAUUACAAGGUACGGGAGUCGGUUACGCAAAAGGGAGCGCAAGACUAACCUAAGAAAGGGAAAGGAACGGUCUUACGACCAGAGAUUACAAGGUACGGGAGUCGGUUACGCAAGGGGAAGGUGUUAGCACCCCUCACGCCCGCCGUACUCGACGGGAUCCACGCUCAAAAGAUAGCUCAAAGGAAAGGAAAGGGUUUCUAAUAAACUGCUCAAAGAAACUGCACAAACUGGAACAAUAAACAGGUGAGGUAGAGAAAGAAAACGGAGGAAGUGGACUCGGUAGGAUGUUGCAUCCUGGGCCUACGUAGUUUGUCAGAAACAAACAUCAGAGUCGACGUAGUUCAGGAAAAGGAGACAUGCUCGCUAAGACAUCGCAUCUUAUGCCUACAUAUCUUCUCUAUCCAGAGGAGAAUCAGAGCAUUCGUAGCUCGGCUAACGCACGCUGAAACAAGACACCAAAAAGGGACGCUAAGACGUCAAAAGAAACACCCAAAAGGAAACAGAAUGCCAAUACAUGGACUUACACCCGACUCCCAACAAUAACAAAAAGGAAACAAAAUGCCAAUACAUGGACUUACACCCGACUCCCAACAAUAACAAACGCUAACCAACGAACACCAAAGAAAAAGGUUAUCAGAACGAACCCCAACAAAGUGACAAAAUAUCUAGAAUAAACUCCCGAUAUGUAUAACCAGUCACCACAAAUGAACCCCAAAGAUGAACCCCAAUAUGAACCCCAAAUGAUAACGAUCAUCACGAAUGAACCCCAAAGAUGAACCCCAAUAUGGACCCCAAGUAAUAACAACCAUCACAAAUGAACCCCAAUAUGAACCCCAAGUGAAUAACAACCAUCACAAAUGAACCCCAAAUGAAUAACAAUCAUCACAAAUGAACCCCGAAGGUGAAUCCCAAGUGAGUAACAAUCAUCACAAAUGAACCCCGAAGAUAAACCCCAAUAUGAACCCUAGGUAAUAACAGAAGAAAUCCCCCAAAUCAAUAUAGGUGAACCUCAAACAGAUAACAGGUAACCAAAGUGAACCCCAACCAGUGAACCCUGAAUAAUAACAGAAGGAAUCCCCCAAGGUAUGGACAUACAACACACACACACGCUGAACAAGCGGGUACUCACACCAAAGAAAACAACUGCUAGAGACAAAGACACGAAACGGUAAACCCAAGUUGAGAAUAAGGGUAAACAAACACAAGUAUAAAAGAAAACAACUGAAGGGUGAACACACGCAAAAACAAAGAAAAGGGUGCCCGGAGAGAUUGACCUCAACCUCCUGCCUACGUAUCUCAUCUGGUAUGAGAAUCAGGGCGACGUAGUUCCCCUUACCAGGGGUAAAACACUCUCCUAACCAGAGACCAGGGAAACAACAAACUAAUAGGGAGACUAAGACUCGAGCCUAAUAGUUGUCAUGCAAUCAAUAUCCCUAAGUUGAGGUCUCUAACAAAUACUUAACUCUUCCUGGAAGCGAGUCAGCAAAUAAACACACCAACACAAGUAAACAAACAUCACACACUAUAUCCAUGCAAGAGGCUCAAACAAUGGGUGGGCUUUAGUCAAGAGGGGUCAUAUCAACCUCGACAAACAAGCCAAACUGUAAUGGGUAAUCUGUAGCUCUUAACCACUAACAUUGAACGUUAGGGUGAAGCUGAUCAAAGUAUGAAUGAGGAUGAGACAGCAUGCUCUUAACCCUGGCCAGGGUGAGCUUAUGACACAGAAAGCGUGGGGAUCCAAAAAGUGGGAUCCUUUUCCACUUGACAGACUCUAGACAAAAGAUCUGGGGCACAUGUUCAGAAGCAUCAGCACGUAGUGCGAGCAUAAAGAACGACACACUGAAUAACGGGGGAUUGGCUACUAAUCCCUUUUAUCCGUCAAUUGCCUCUACUCUUGGAGGUCUUAUCAAAUAUAACACAUGCCUCUUCUUGGAGGUCUUUGGGCACAAUUUAAAACAAACACAAACAGAGCCUCUGAAGGAGGACUUGCCAGCAAAAUGCCUGCCAAAAAGGUGACAGGACUCCAGACUACAUGAAGUAAGAAGCUAAUUACCUGAGUGGUGUGUCAACCACAAUCCAAUGCUCAAGCAAGAGCUAAAGCAAGCAAGCAACUAAGGUACCUGUACAAAGACUAAACAGUUAGCACUUCAGUCAUAUAACCAGAAAACAAGCAGUGAAACCCUCUAACAGUUACACAAUUCAAUGCAUAAGUGCCCUAGCACUCAAAUGAGGUCAUGAGCUCACCACAUCAAUUAAAACCCUACAAAACAAACAUAGGUCAAAACCCAAAGCAUUUUGUAUAUCACAAGGUGAGUAUCCAAACCUGAAACAAUAGACAAAGUUAGUCUAUGUACAUCCAAUCAACACAACAAAGCAUAAACAAACAAUGGCAUAAGAUGAAUUGAAUCAAGAUCACUCCAAGUCAGAAGUAGAGUCCUUCAAAUGACCACCCAACAAUCCAUACCCCCAAUGUUCCAACACCAACCAUAAACUCCUUGAAAACUCAAGUAGAACAAGCUUGCACUCAAAACUUGCUCUUACCUCCUCAACCACUUCUUAAAGCCUCUAAAGGAUGUGAGAACCCCAAAUAAACUCCAACCAAUGACCACAAGCCCCAAAUAGAACCAUAUGAACCCCUAAACAUCAAUCACCAUGGCCAAAGAUCCACCAUACCUCAAAUAUCAUUCAAUUGCUUCAAAAGCCUAAAAAAUAUGCACAAAAUGAGCUUUCAACUUAGAAAAUUCACAUCAAAUCAGAAAUGCAUGCAAUGACUUUGGGAUUUUUCGUAUAAAUUCCUUAUGCCAUGAAUGUUCAAUAUGCAAAAGAUCAAGUCCAGAAUGAUGCAAAUGCUAUGUGAACAAAAAUGCACCAAUUCAAUGUCAAAAAUGUGACACAAAUUGUCACAUUUUUCUCUAUGUGUAAAAAAUGAUGAUAACAUGUGAGAAAAAAUCCACAAAUGCUAUGUGAACAAAAAUGCACCAAUUCAAUGUCAAAAAUGUGACACAAAUUGUCACAUUUUUCUCUAUGUGUAAAAAAUGAUGAUAACAUGUGAGAAAAAAUCCAAACCAGUGACCAAUAAUCCAUGUCCUGUAUGAAUGUCAUGCAUGCAAAAAAUUGGAUCAAAAAGCUCAAAAUUGAGGAUUUCACAAUGCAUUGAAUGCACUAGGUCAAUUUGGCACAACAUUGAUUCAAAAAUUCCCACAUAAAAAUCCAGACAUCACAAUUUCUUGAAUUUAACACCAUAAAAAAGUAGACACAAAUACAAAACUAUGAAAAAAAAUUGGGACUCAAUUGGACAAUUUUUGUAUUUUUUAUGAAUUAAACAAAAUGAACAAAACAAUUGAAUAUCAAAUGGAAAAUGGAGGGAAAUGAAUUAUUUGAAAUAAACUGAAAAAAACAGAAACCAUUGGAUAUGGCGCGCUCUAAGAUCAACGCUCCACGUUCAAACUGAUGAAACACAACGUUUCAUUAAUCCAGUCAUCACACACAGCCAGCUUCAACGCACGCGUGGCUCUGGUCAAACCAUUCUCCUCCAAUCACUCUUCCACGCUUCGCUCCACACGACAUCCUACUCAGCCAAACCCUAACAACACACAGACGCCGGAGCUCCGCUCCAGUCGUCUUCUCCGGCGAGCCCCACGGUGGCGCCUCCCUACACUUUUCCAGAAAUUCCUCAAACCGGUACCAUUCCAUUCGUCUUCCAACGCUGAUUCCAAAUAUCCAAUUAUAUUUCCCUAAUUCCCCCUAGGUUUUGCAAAUCGAAGAGAGAAAGUUUCUAGAUCCAAACUUCCAGUCACAACUACAUCCUCAAUUCUCACUCAAUUUCGAUUCUAAACAUAUAUCCAUGACCUACACAACAAGAUCUACAAUCCUAUAACCUAAAAACAGCAAAAGGAGAAAGUGAAAUUCGAGUCACCUGAAAUUGAAGACCUCUGAAACCGCGAUCUCUCAAGCUCUACUGCUCCAGAUCAACCUCCUUAAACUUCCUUUGAAGCUUUGUGCAAAAAGCAAUGGAUGAAACCUCUCGAAUAUGCUUCAAUUUCCAAAUCCGAUCAACUUGAGAAUGUGCUUGGACUGCUCGAAUUCUUGAGAUAUAGCUCCAAAUAAUGGAUGAUUCUUGAUCAGUGAAGCAUGAGGAUCAAGAAUAUGUAAUAAUAUUUGAGGCUUGUGUGGAGAAAAAUCAAAUUUGAUUGAGAGAAAAUUUUGGAGAGACUCUUGAAUUCUAGAUCUGAAAAUGGUUGUUAUGGCAGUUAUGAUUAGGGUUUCACUAUUCAUACUCCUUGCUAAUGAUAUUGAUAAUCAUUUUAUCCCUUUGCUAAUCAUGAUUAGUGAGUUGUUAUGCCAAUUGCCAAAAAUGAAAAUUAACCUCCCAUGGCCAUAAUGCACGUGUGAUCUCCCAUGCUAGGGCUUUAAUUCACUCAUGAACAACCAAGGGCUAGGAUUUUAAGAUCACUUUGCUUGUAUCUUAAGCCAAGAAUGAAUGGUGAAGAUUUGCUUCAAUUUGAACAUGUGUGAAAUAAUGAACAUACACGCUUCUCCCAUGCAUGGCAAAAGCUCAUUUUCACUCAAAUAUGGUCCAUGAAGAAGGCUGAAGUGAAGCCUUGCCUUGGUUCUUUGUGAAUUUUGAUUUGUAGCAUGAUAUCAUCCUUAGAACAAAUGUGAAAUAAUGUGACUUUUGACCAUGAUUCCUCUUGCACAAUUGAGCCAAAUGAUGUAAUUUUGGGAUGCCUUGAUCAUGAGAAGCAUUUUGCAAAAAGAAUGAACCAAUUUGAAGCAUUAUAUCAAAAGUUAUGCCAUUUUGAAUUUCCAUGCACACCUUGUGAUCAAAUGACCAUAACUCUUCAACCAUUCACCAUAUGGUCAUGAAUUAGGACUUUUUGGAAAAGGGAGACAAAGAUAUACAACUUUCAUGUUUACCAAAAAUCCAUUUGAAACUUCUUUGAUAUUGAAAAGCCCAAUUGAAAGUGGACCAAAAACUUGCCAAAUUUGGAAACUUUGAAUUAUAGGUCAUUUUCCAUUUUUAGUAACUUUUGCCAUGACCUUUAAAUCUUCAAGAUGGAUGUUUAGAAUUAUGAAUAGACCCCAUUUGAACAUGAUUGAGGUAUCUCAAUUCAUUUCCCCACCUCAAAGCCCUCAGUUGACUGCACAGUUGACUUUUGGUCCCCAGAUGACCUUGAAAUGUCUUGAUCAACUUGAACCUCUACCACUUGGUGAAAUUGCUUUCAAAAUGAAACCCUAGCUCAUGUAAGCUCCUCAUGAUAAUCAUGUGACCCUCAUCCCAAGAAAAUACCUCAUCUAUUUGAGAAACCCUAGUUGGAAGAACUGCAUUGAUUAGGGUUGACCAGAGGUCACAACUCUAAUCCAGUGGAACUUGAGGAUGAUCUCUGAAACCCUUGAUGAUAAAACCAUGAUGAUGGUGAUAUAUCUUUGCAGAUAAGAUGAUGCUCAAGACCUUUGAAGAAUCAAGAAACCCUAAUUGGAACCCAUACCCUCAGAUGGUUGAUGAUCAAUUCAUAGAGACCCUCAGGCUUGAAUCACCUAAACUUCUCCAUCUUUUGAAAAGACUUUGGAGGAUGACCUUCUCAUUUUCAUAUGAUAUGUAAAAUGUAAUGCCUAAUGCCCUAAAACAUGAAAUGCAAUGCCCCAAACUAGUCUCAAGAAGAGGAGGGCAAAUUUUGAGGUGUUACACUAGGGUCUGGCAUGAUUUUGACUGUCUAAUUUACCAAGCUGAAGACGAAGUGGGGGAAGAUUGUGAACUCCCUGAAGAGUUGGUCAGAUUACUCAAACAAGAAGAGAAGGGCAUUCAACCACACUAAGAGGACGUCAAAGUUAUCAACCUUGAGAGGGAGGAAGAUAAGAAAAAAGUAAGGGUAGGCGCCACGCUUCAAGAUGCAGUGAAGACAAGACUGAUAGAGCUCCUCCACUAGUAUGCUGAUGUGUCUGCUUGGUCAUACCAAUAUAUGCCCGGGUUAGACACUGACAUUGUUACCCACAAGCUCCCCCUCAAAGAAGAAUGCUCUACCGUCAAACAAAAGCUAAGAAGAACUCGACCGGAUAUGGCUCUCAAGAUUAGAGAAGAGGCGAGAAAGCAGUUUGACGCUGGUUUCCUAGAAGUCGCUAAGUACCCACAAUGGGUUGCCAACAUUGUACCGGUACCAAAGAAAGAUGGGAAAGUCUGCAUGUGUGUCGACUAUCGAAACCUAAACAGAGCUAGUCAAAAAGAUGAUUUCCCAUUACCCCACAUUGAUGUAUUGAUGGAUAACACAACUCAGUUAUCCGUAUUUUCCUUCAUGGAUGGCUUCUCUGGGUAUAACCAAAUUAAAAUGGAUCCCGAGGACAUGGAGAAAACUACAUUCAUCACACCUUAGGGCACCUUCUGUUACAAGGUAAUGCCAUUCGGUCUGAAGAACGUCAGGGCAACAUAUCAAUAUGCUAUGGUGACUCUCUUUCAUGGCAUGAUUCAUAAAGAGAUUGAAGUGUAUGUUGGCGAUAUGAUUGCGAAAUCCUAGACGGAAGAAGGGAACAUCACUAACCUGGAGAAACUAUUUGCUCGGUUAAGGAAGUUUAGGUUGAGACUUAACCCUAACAAAUGCACAUUUGGGGUUCGAUCUGGGAAGCUUUUAGGCUUUAUUAUAAACCAAAAAAGAAUUGAAGUGGAUCCCGACAAGGUCAGAGCCAUUCAGAACAUGCCUGCACCGAAGACUGAGAAAGAAGUUUGUGGGUUCUUGGGAAUACUGAAUUACAUCGCCAGGUUCAUCUCACAUCUCACUACCACGUGCAAACCUAUAUUCAAGCUUCUAAAGAAAAAUCAAGGCGUGGAGUGGAAUGAUGACUGCCAAAUAGCCUUUUGACAAAAUCAAAGAAUACUUACAAGAGCCGCCGAUUCUAAUGCCCCAUGUAGAAGGAAGACCUCUCAUCAUGUAAUUAACAGUACUCGACGAGUCCAUGGGCUGUGUAUUGGGACAACAAGAUGAGACUGGUAGAAAAGAGCAUGCCAUAUAUUAUAUGAGCAAGAAGUUUAAUGACUGCAAGACCAAAUAUUUAUUACUCGAAAAGACUUGUUGUACACUCGCGUGGCCCGCUAAGCGUCUCAGGCAGUACAUGCUGACUCAUACAACCUGGUUGGUAUCUAAAAUGGAUCCUAUCAAGUACAUAUUUGAGAAACCCACUCUUACCCGUAGAAUUUCCCGAUGGAAGAUGUUGUUAUCAGAAUACGAUAUUCAAUACGUUGCAGAAAAGGCCAUCAAAGGAAGCGUACUAGUAGACCAUCUUGCUCACCAACCGUUAGAGGAUUACCAACCUUUGAAGUUUGACUUCCCAGAUGAGGACAUCAUGGUUGUUAAGGAUGCUGAAGCCUCCGAACUAGAGGAGGUACCUGAGCCAAAUGAAAGUUGGACUCUCAUGUUCGACGAUGCUUCAAAUGCAAUAGGUCAUGGAAUUGGGGCAGUGCUGAUGUCUCGCAAGAAUUUCCAUCUACCAUUCACUGCAAAACUCUGUUUUGCCUACACGAAUAACAUGGUCGAGUAUGAAGCUUGCAUAUUGGGGCUAGAAGAAGAUAUUGAGUUGAAGAUCAAGGUACUAGAGGUACUAGAGGACUCCGCUCUAGUGAUGCAUCAGAUCAGAGGUGAUUGGGAAACAAGACAUGCUAACCUAAUUCCGUACCGGGAUUACGUGCUGAAGUUACUCCCAAAAUUUGACAAAAUAACUUUCUCUCAUAUUCCUUGAGAAGAGAAUCAGAUGGCAGAUGCUCUGGUAACCUUGGCUUCCAUGUACAAGUUAAUAUGGCAUAACCAUCAUCCUAACAUUGAAAUCAGGCGUUUUGAUGAACCUGCGCAUUACUUGACAACAACAGUAGAGUCGGAUGAUAAACCUGGUUCUUCGACAUCAAACAAUAUAUAGAGAAACAAGACUACCCGACAGAGGCUUCCAGCCUUGAUAAGAGGACUAUACAGAGGUUGGUGUCGAAGUUCUUCUUGAAUAGGGAUGUAUUGUACAAGCUGAAUUAUGACAUGGUUUUGUUGAGGUGUGUGAACAAACAUGAAGCUAAUCAGCUUAUGAAGGACAUACAUGAAGGAUCCUUCGGCACACAUACGAAUGGGCAUGCAAUGGCGAAGAAGAUCCUAAGGGCUGGUUACUACUGGUUAACGAUGGAAGCCGAUUGUUAUCAUUACACUAGAACAUGUUAUAAAUGCCAAAUCUAUGCUGACAGGAUACAUGUAUCGCCUACCCCGUUGAAUGUUAUAGCAUCACACUGGUCGUUCUCUAUGUGGGGGAUCGACAUGAUCGGGAUGAUAGAACCCAAAACAUCUAAUGGACACAGAUUUAUCUUGGUGGCCAUAGACUACUUCACUAAAUGGGUUGAAGCCGCAUCUUAUGUGAAUGUCACGAAGCACAUAGUCGCCCGUUUCUUAAAGAAUAAUAUCAUAUGUCAGUAUGGGAUUCCCAACAAAAUCAUCACUGAUAACGGGUCCAAUCUCAACAACAAGACCAUGGAAGAAUUAUGUGCGACAUUCAGAAUUAAACAUCAUAACUCAUCACCAUAUCGACCCAAAAUGAAUGGGGCUGUUGAAGCUGCGAACAAAAAUAUCAAGAAAAUUAUCCAGAAGAUGAUAGUCACAUACAAGGAUUGGCAUGGGAUGCUGCCUUUUGCGUUACACGGUUAUCGUACAUUAGUACGAACUUCAACAGGGGCAACCCCUUAUUCCUUGGUGUAUGGCAUGGAAGCAGUCCUCCCUAUAGAAGUGGAGAUUCCCUCGAUGAGAGUCUUAAUGGAGGCUAAGUUAGACGAGGCAGAAUGGGUUCAAUCAAGGUUCAAUGAACUCAACCUUAUUGAGGAGAAACGCUUGAAAGCGUUAUGUCACAGUAAACUCUAUCAGAGGCGUCUUAAGAAGGCAUUCGACAAGAAAGUCCGUCCUACGGUGUUUCAAGAGGGAGAUUUAAUGUUGAAGAAGAUUUUGCCCAUUCACAAGGAUUCCAGGGAAAAAUGGAAACCAAAUUAUGAAGGUCCAUUUGUGGUGGUUAGAGCCUUCUCCAAGGGCGCUCUAAUCCUAGCAACCAUGGACAAUGAUGAAUUACCGCUUCCCGCCAAUGCUGAUGCUGUUAAAAAGUAUUUUUCCUAAAAAAAUGGAAUAAUAAAAGUCGCUAAAUCAAAAACCUGAAAGGGAGAUUUAGGCAAAAAAAUGGCUAUCCCGGUGGAUCGAAAACCCGAAAGGGCGAUCCAGGCAAAAAUUAGGGAUACAAAUAAAAAAAAUGCUGACCCGCUGAGUUGAAAACCCGAAAGGGCGACUCAGGCAAAAAUGGGUAUCCUGGUAGAUUGAAAACCCGAAAGAGUGAUCCAGGCAAAAGUUAGGGAUAAAUUCCAAGGCAAAGAACUAUACUUUCCGGCAUCUAUCAUGUCCCUCGAAGACAAAGAAUCAAUCUACCUGACUUUUUCAAAAAGCAAGGUACUCGAACUAUCAAAGACAUAAGGAUCAUAGCAGUGUGGAAACUCAAUGGGAACUCAACUUUAUUGUCGUUUUGCUUCUAUGCACAUCAAUUACCUCAUUAAGGAAUUUCAUAUUUAUGUACAAUCGCCCAUUCAAGGGUUAAAUCAAUAAAAGAGAAAUUUUCUCGUCAAAAGUUGUGCCCAAAUCAUUUUGUAUUUUAUCUGUUUGUUUGCAAAGCGCCUUUAUUUCUGAUAAACAUCACUCUUAAAGAUUUUGGAGAAAAUAAAACAUGCAUUUGAACGAAGUGAUAAAAUUUCUUUUGAAAUAGUAAAAGGAUAAAUCUCAUAGCCUCCAAGUUUGUUCUUUUUUUUCAUGAAGGUGUAAGACCGUUUGCAGGCACCUAUGUUCGUUCCAAUUACUAAUCAACACCUCUCAUAAAUGUACUCAUGGUAUAGCCAAACCCUGACAAGUCUCUAGUACAUUUCCAGCAAAAACAUUAAUAAAUCAUGGUCGAAGUAUAGCGCGCUGAAAAGUCUGAACCCUUCAGUGGCUUGGAGCAACCCAAAUGUAUUCCCAAAAUUACCCAGUGGGGACAUCAAAGCUUGACCUCCAUUGGUCACCCUGUAACACCUCAAAAUUUGCCCUCCUCUCUUGGGACUAGCUUAACAUAUUGCAUAACAUUUUUUAGGUCAUUAGUCAUUUCAUAUUGCAUAUCAUGUGGUUACAUGGUGCAAGUCAUCCUCAUAAGUCUUGAUCAGGAGAUGAAGAGGUCAUGAUGCAAGUUAGGGUUUUCAUUGGAUGGACUGAUCACUAACUAUCUGAGGGUGGUGGUUCAAAUUAGGGUUUUGAUUCUCAAGGGAGAUUGAUCUUCAUCUUGGUUGAAAUGAUACAUCAUCAUCAUCAUGGUCUUGAUAUCAUCUAAGAGAUUCAGAAGAUUGAUCAGAUACCUUGAGAUUAGGGUUUUGACCACUGGUCAACCCUAAUCAGUUGAAUCAUCUGCAUUGGGCCAAUCAGGGCAUGGCAUGGAGAUGGGGUCUAUAAUGGAUAUGGGGAUCAUCAUGUGAUUAUAUUGAGCUUAUGGAAGCUAGGGGUUCAUCCUUGAGCCAUUUCAUCAGGAGUUUGAGGCUCAACUUGAUCGGUGCAUUGCCAAAUUCAUCUAUCAGUUAAAAAAGUCAACUGUGGUCAACUGUGCUUGAUUUUAUGGAUUUGGAGGUGGGAGAGAGUUGGAUACACUUCAUUCAUGUUGAAACAAGUUUCAUUUGACAUUUCAAACAUCAAGAAUGAAGAAAAUAAAGUCAGGAGAAAAAUUGCCAAAAAUAGAAAGUGACUUGUAAUGGAAGUUUCCAAAAAUGGAAAGUUUUUCACCACAAAAUUACAUGUCCAAAAAAGCUUCAAAUGAAAUUUUGUUCAACAUGAAAGUUGUAGAUCUUGCUCUCACCUUUCCAAAAAGUCCAAGAACUUGAAUUUCCCAUGUAUGGUUGACAAGUUAUGGUCCAUUCAUUUUUCAAAAAUGCCUAUAAUCAAAGUGGCAUAACUUUCACAUGGAAUGUCCAAUUUGGGUGAUCUUUCUUUGAGCAAACCCCAUUUCACAUGUACUUUCAUGGUGCAUGGUCAAAAUUCAGCAAAAAUGGUCAAGGCAAAAAGUCAAAUUUCAAGUGGACUAUUUAGCAUUUUGGUGUGAGAUAGUGAAUUUGAGCAUUACUUGGAUUUUUCACACAAGACCACUUCCAACACACUCCAAAUAUCAUUUAGAACUUGUGAGAAUUGUCAUGGUACUGUUACAUUGCAAAUUUGGAAAGGUCAUUUUUGGACUUUCACUAAAAAUGCAAUUAUGCUAAUCAAGCCAAUUUGGUAAUUGUGAUUAAGGAAAGGGAUUAGGAGAUGGUAUAUAUCACUAAUCAUAACAGAAAUUGCAAAUUACAUUUCAUUCUCCAAGAUUUGUAACUGUUUUUCCCUCCAAUUCUCUCAAAUUCUCCAAAACCUACACACACUUUUUUCAUCAAUUUUCAUCAAAAAUUCAUUUUUCAAAAAUGCCUAUAAUCAAAGUGGCAUAACUUUCACAUGGAAUGUCCAAUUUGGGUGAUCUUUCUUUGAGCAAACCCCAUUUCACAUGUACUUUCAUGGUGCAUGGUCAAAAUUCAGAAAAAAUGGUCAAGGCAAAAAGUCAAAUUUCAAGUGGACUAUUUAGCAUUUUGGUGUGAGAUAGUGAAUUUGAGCAUUACUUGGAUUUUUCACACAAGACCACUUCCAACACACUCCAAAUAUCAUUUAGAACUUGUGAGAACUGUCAUGGUACUGUUACAUUGCAAAUUUGGAAAGGUCAUUUUUGGACUUUCACUAAAAAUGCAAUUAUGCUAAUCAAGCCAAUUUGGUAAUUGUGAUUAAGGAAAGGGAUUAGGAGAUGGUGUAUAUCACUAAUCAUAACAGAAAUUGCAAAUUACAUUUCAUUCUCCAAGAUUUGUAACUGUUUUUCCCUCCAAUUCUCUCAAAUUCUCCAAAACCUACACACACUUUUUUCAUCAAUUUUCAUCAAAAUAUAUCACUAAUCAUAACAGAAAUUGCAAAUUACAUUUCAUUCUCCAAGAUUUGUAACUGUUUUUCCCUCCAAUUCUCUCAAAUUCUCCAAAACCUACACACACUUUUUUCAUCAAUUUUCAUCAAAUCUUCAUCAAUCUUGUUAAUUCUUCUUGGAUCCAUGCUCCACAAAGCUUGUUGAUGAACUGUUUUGCUGAAUCCACGCCAAAAGCUUCAAGAUCGUGGACUGUCAUAAGCUUGUACAUCAAUGGCAACUUUAUCAUUCUUGCAAUUGGAGCAUCCUUGAGCUGAGGAACCUCUUCCAAUCAACUUACAGAACAUCAAUCAUCAUCUGUUUUUGGCUUUUGCACGAGGAAACAUCCAGAUUCAUCACUGCAAUCUCCACAAGGUGAUUUUUCGAAUUUCACCAUUGCAUGAAUCAUGAUGUGCGUUUUGUAGGUCUUUCAAUGUAGAUUAACAUGCUGUUUGUGGUUUGUGAUUUGAUUAAGUGUUGAAUGAGAAAUCGUGAUUUGAAGAUUGAUGUGCAUUUCUAUUUUUGAUCGAUCCCGUUGAUACGUUGAGAUUUAGUUCAAACUAGUUGCGUGUUCGUGAUGUGCAUGAUUAGACGGUUAUUUUGAUGUAUGAUUUGUGCAUUUUGGUUGAGAAUUCAUGUAUGUCGAUUUCUGGAAAUGUUGUUGUUGAUGGACGAUGAAGACAGUGCAGAACGCAGAACGCGUGUUUUGAUCUGAAUUUCGUUUGGCCUGGCUUUCAAAUUCUGUUUACGCACUAGCAUCCAAUCCGUUGCGCCAUUCCAUAAUGACCACGACGUCGUUUUGCCUUGCUGAAGUUAAUUACGAUUUGCCAUGUUUCACAUAUUAUUUUAAUUUUCAUUUCAUUUUUUUCUUUUCAUUUCAAUUCCCAUUUUUGAAUGCUUGAUCUUUUUAGGAAAAAUCAGUAACUGAUUAGUUUUUUUUUAUCCAAAUUGAGUGAGUUUUUUUCAUGAUGCUCCUUGUAUGUGUGGAAUUUAAUGAAUGUAUUUUAUAUUUUGUGGCACAUGUGGGAAAAUUAUUUGUCUAGAGAUUGAUUGAAUGUGUCACAUUGGUACAUGCUUUGGCAAUAUUUCCAUAUAAUGAUGAUGUUUCAAAGAAUGGAUGAAAUUUUUAUGCAUUUCUGGACACUUGAUUGGUGAUUUUUGAUGGUAGACUUUGUGGUUUUUGGAUACCCGGUUGUCGAGAUAUGAAUUUUUGAUAGAGGUGCUGACAAUUUGUGUCACCCAAACAUUGUGAACUUCAUGUGUUUAUUUUGCCUUGCUUAGGGAUUGUUGAAUUGAUGCAAUUUUUUGCAAUGUAUGAGACAUAUGUAUGUUGAGAUGACAAUUGUGAUUUUUCUGGCAUUUAUUGAUGGCUUUCUCCUAUUUGUUGGAAUUUUUCUCUGUUGUCAUUUUGUUGUUCAUGUGACACAUGUUACCAUUUGCUUUGUGAUGAUGGUUACUGAUUGUUAUGGCGUGAAAUUUGACAUGUGAUUAUAGACACAUUAUAGCGUCAUUAAUGGUUUUUUGCAUCCCAUUCAUUUAUUUGUGGUGCACUGUUUAUGAUUGUUGGGAAGUUGAUGUUUUUGCAUACCAUUGUUGGCUUGCUUGACUUGUCUGAACUUUAUGAAUUUAAUUUCAUACUUUCAUUGACCAAAUUUGAGCUGAAAUUGAUGUGCCUAUUCCAUGGAUAGGUUUGUUUAUGCUGAAUGUUUGUGUGGAAUUAAUUGAAUUGUUUUGAUAUGGAUUUGUUGAGAUUCUUCUGUUUGGUCAUUUGGAGUUGCAAUUGCGAUGUUUGAUGCUAUUUUGUGCAUAAAAUGAAAUGGUGAAUGUAUGGAGCAUGAGGACCAAUGCAUUUGGCUUCUAAAUUGUUUGAAUGAUGUUUUGGUAUAUUUUCACUUGCUGUUUUUGUGAAUUUUCAUCCCUGUUGACCUAGGCUGGCUAGUGGUCUUGUUUCCACUUUUGAUUGUGGUUUCAGGGUUGAAAUGCCAAAAGGCGUACGGAGAAAUCUGCAAGCUGAUUAAAUUGAGUUUGUUUGAUGUGUUAAUACUAACUUGUUAUUGUGGUAUAUGGUUGAAUGCUUGAGUUUGAGCUCAUGGCUUGCACUUGUGUGAUGAAUUUGUCUUUGACUGUACAUGAUUACAUUUUGCUGUUUUGUUGGUGUCUGCGCUCUGCUCAUGAGCAGUACUGACUGAAUACUUGAUUGAUUUCAGCGUACAUUAAGUCGCUUUAGUUUCUUUAAGAACUUGCUUGCUGCUGCUUGUUGUAUAACAGUGAGGUAGACUCUCUUGUCUCCGAUGUAGUUCUGGACAGCCUGGCUUUGUUUAUUUAAGCCAGGACACUGUCUGAAAGUCCUCCUUAAGAGGGAUGUUUAGUGGUUUGUUUACUUUUGGUUGGCCAAGCAGGUAAAGACCUCUAUGGCAAUUGGCGAACCCAAGGGAUUGCAAUCUUCCCCUCGCAUUCUGUUGAGUCGUCCCUCUGCUCACAUUGACAUUGUGUAAGACAUGGGACACCAACCCCAAGAUCUUGUACUUGUAACAGUCGAGUCAGGUCUUGAGCGUAGAGGGUCCCUCAUCUGGACCCACGCUCCUUUGUCCUGAGCUCUCCCUGCGCCAAGGGAUAGAGCUGUGAAGUCUAAUCUUGCACUCCACCUUUCAUCAGCUGUCACUUAGCCUUCUCAUGCAAGGUUAAGAGCUAACCUACCCUUGUACAUGAGACUUUGCCUCGGCGCCCCUUGUUGGCCUCACUUGACUGGAUAUAGUGUGCUAUGUGAAAUGUUUUGUUUGUGAUGCUUGCAUGCCUUGCUUCUUCUGUAUAGGAUUAGCUUUGCGUUGUGCAAGUAGGUAGAAACCAUCCAAUAGGGCAAUGAUGCAAUGAUAACAAUAGGGGCCGAGUAUAGCUCCCUGGGUAGUGUGGUCUCCCCCUUGGUUUCUGGCUAGAAUUUUUUUCCCUUUCAGGGGAAUACGUCGCCCUGAAUCCUCAAUACCAGAUGAGGUACGGUAGGCUAGGAGACCGUGCGAGGUCUCUCCGGCACUUUUUUUUUUCUUUUGUGUGUGGUUGCUUGUUUCCUUUUUUUGGUGUCGGAUAUGGACGUAGCCCAGCAUUGGUUGUCCGUAUCUCUGAGUGGUGUUUGUUUGGUUCGGAAGCCGAUUUUAAGUCCAGCAAUUGGCAUUCGGGUUUUCUCAUGUUUGCCCCCUGUUUGUGUGUGUCUUGUUGUUGGGUGCCGUGAGCCGAACUACGGCAGCGCUCUGAUUCUCUGUUCCAGACGAGAUACGUAGGCAUAUGAUGCGAUGUCUAGCGAGCCCUCUCUUCCCUCUUCUCCCACCGUGUGUUUUCAGUGUGUUGGUAUGUUUUUGUUUUAGCAACUUUUCUUUUAUUUUAAAGCGUUGGAUCCGUCGAUACGACGGACGUGAGGGUGCUAAUCUCCCCUUGCGUAACCGACUCUCGCGUACCGCUUUCUCUUUGCUCGCGAGACCUUGCUUUUCCCAGGUUUACUCUGAGCGUUUUCCUUUCCUUCUUGGAUAAAUAACGCAGCGGUGGCAGGCUCUGUUUGUUUGUUUUUCAAGCCGUCGGUUGGUUUUUCGCGGAUGCGACACACCCCAUAACAAAUUCCAAUUGUUGGCAUCAUCAGCAAGCAAAACACCUUAACAGCAGCAAUAUCCCAAUUACCCAUUUGCAAUGCCCACAUGCUUCACAUGCACCAUGUGCCAUCAUGCACAUAACAUCAAAUCUUCCUACCAAAUAGUAAAAUUCACUCAAAAUAAUCAUACAUCAAUCGACAUACAUAUGGCAAGCCUUAUACAAUCCACCAUUCCUAUAAGAUUGAAACAGCUAAUCAUCCCAGCGAUGGCACGUUCGCAUACAUGCAUGCAUAAUUCAUGAACAUGUGGUGCGUUCCAUCCAAAGUGGAACAUCAUAUCAAAAUCAUACCAUAAUUCAGGAUCCGGGAUCAAUCAUAUAUCUCCCAUAUUUUCCUCCUUUAAUUCAACGGGUGGAACUAUCCUGCGGGCAACGCUCAUGGAAUUAUUUCCUGGACAGUCAUGUUUUCAACUUAAAAAUGAUUAAUAAUGACAUCCCCUAGCACCUUUACUAUCAUUAAUCCCAGCGAGAGGUACGUAAAAAAAACUUCUAUAAGCUUUUCCUCUGCAGAACAUUUCUAGUAACUCUCCUUCCAAAAGGAGUCUUUCUACAAGUAUCCCCCCAUAGACGACCAUUUUUGAGAUGUUGGUUCCCAUUUAUUUGGAGAGAUCUCAUUUUUGUUGUUUCGAGAUGCUGCUUCAUCAAUAUGAAGAGUCUCAUUCCUAUUUCUUUUGAGAUAAUGCUCUAGUAUCCUUGAAGAGUCUUAAAUUCAUUAAGGUAUCAUCCUUGUUCGGACUAUCUUAUUCUAUAUGUAAGAUGCCUCGAUCGAUACAUAGAAUCUCAUUUGUUCUGUUUGAGAGCUGCUUCAUCAAAAUGAAGAGUCCAUUUGUUUUUAGAGAAUUAAUGCUCUAGUAUCCUUGAAGAGUCUUAUAUUCAAUUAAGAUAUCAUUCCUUUUGACGGGAAUAUUUAAUUCUAUCAUAUACGACCGAUUCGAUUCGAUACAGGAAUUAUUUUGCUGUUUGAGGAUGCUGCUUCAUCAAUAUGAAAGUCUCAUUCUAAGAUUUUUUGAGAUACUACUCUAUAUCCUGAAGAGUCUUAGAUUCAAUUAAGGUACAUUCCUUUGUUUGGAAACUUAAUUCUACUACGUGUAAAAUGUUGCUUCGAUUCAAUACAGGAAUCUCAUUUUUUGCUGUUUGAGUGCGCUUCAUCAAUAGAAGAGUCUCAUUCCAUUUUUCUUUAAAUACUUCUCUAGUAUCCUCGAAGAGUCUUGGAUUCAAUUAAGGUAAAUCAUUCCAUUGUUUGAAUAUCUUGAUUCUAUCGUAUAGAUGCUGGCUUCGAUUCGAUACAGAAAUAUUAUUUUUUUAUUGUUUGAGAUGCUGUUCAUCAAUAUGAAGAGUCUCAUUCCAUUUUCCUUUUGAAUAACUGCUCUAGUAUCUAAAAGAGUAUUGGAUUCAAUUAAGGUAUCAUUACCUUGUUUUGGAAUAUUUGAUUCUAUCGUGUAAGAUGCUGCCUUCAAUUCAAUACAGAGAACUCAUUUUUUUUACUGUUUGAGGAUGUUCUCUUCAUCAAUAUGAGAGUCUCAUUCCAUUUUCGUUUGAGAUACUCUCUAGUAUCCUCGAAGAAAUCUUGGAUUCAUUAAGGUAGCCAUUCUCCUUGUCCGGAAUAUCUUAAUUCUACAUAUAAGAUGCUGCGUUCGAUUUGAUACAGAGAAUCUUAUCUUGCUGUUGAGAUGUUGCUUCAUCAAUUAAAAUCUCAUCAUUUUAGAGAUACUGCUCUAGUAUCCCCGGAGAGUCUUAAAUUCAGUUAAGAUUCAUUCCCUUGUUGGGAAUAUCUUAUUCUAUCAUAUAAGACCCUACUUUAUUUGAUACAGAAAAUCUCAUCUUGCCUGUUGAGAUGCUGCUUUUCCUCAAUAUGAAGAGCUCUAAAUUCAUUUUUUUGAGAUACUUCUCUAGCAUCCUUGAAGAGUCUUAGAAUUUCCAUUAAGGUAUCAAUUCCCCUUGUUCGAAAAUAUCUUAAUUCUAUCGUAUAAGAUACUGCUUCGAUUCCUCAGAUCUCAUUUUAAUACUAUGUUGAGAAACUGCUUCCCAUUAUGAAAGCUCAUUCCAAUGUUCAUUUGAGAUAUUGUUCCAUUUUUCUGGAGAAUCUCAUGUCUUGCUGUUUGAGAAUACUGCUUCAGCAUCAAUAUGAAUGAGAUCCUCAUUCAUUUUUAGCAGAUAUUACCUCAUAUACCCGGGGCAACCUUAAGAUACGGUGGAGUACCAUUCCUUACCAGGAACUUCCAAUCUAUCAGGUAAAGGAUAAAAUCGGUUUGUUAGUAUUUAAUUAUCCUUCCACCAUGAAUGCACGAAGAGUGGUGCAUUCAUGACCUUCUAGUCCAAGUUUUAAUGUAAAUAGUGGGCAGCUGUCAUACCCUGAUUUUGCCUGGGUAAGUUUAAAACUCGUUAAGCAUCCAUAAAAAAAACACAAGUAGACUCAACUUGAGGGGAGGGGGGCCUUUUACUUGAUCAAGAACUUCAUCACCUAAACAUGACCAUUUUCUUUAUAGGGUUUCCCGCUCUAUGCUAUCAAACUUUCCCAUCAUUCAAGUAGGUUUGAUCUGGCUAGCCAGAGGCCGCAUUCAAUGCUCACAUGUUCAUUCAAAACCCUAUCAGUGUCAUCAAACUUUCAACAAUUUCUUUCAACGAAUUCAUCUAAUAAGUUCCUUGUUCGUAACCCAAAGAUCUGUUGCCGUUCAUCUCCUAUAGCACUACCAGGCGUGGGUUGAUAUGCACAUUUUUGGGAUUUUUUGGUUAUACAGUCUCAUUUCGGUCGGUCUUUGAUAAAGCAUAGAGUUUUGUACAAUGUAUGGCCACGCGUACCCAUGUUUUGGUCUUGGUUCUUUCAAUUUCCAUAAGAUCUUUGGUUUAAAGCAUAAUCAUGUCAACAUGUUCAUCUUAAAUAUUGUAAUUUCAAGGUUGAAUUGCAAAGUCAUUCCAUACGACUAGUCCAUCUAUUUCCUUGUUAGUCCAGUACUAAAUUCUUUUACUUGUGUAAUUGCUGUUAGUCCCAAGGUUGCAAUUCACUGUCCACUUGUCUCAUAAUAAUUACACAAAGCAUUGCUUAUAUUGGUUGAGUGUUCUAAAAUUAGUUACAUUGAAACGUGUAGCGAAUUGCUUAGGAUAUCCAAAAAUCGUUUACAUGUAGCCGGACCUAAAUGUAUUCAAGUAUUUUUCUUUUUGCAAAACUUUGGAAUAAUGAGAAGUUUAGGAAGAUCGUACAUAAUCUAUUCCCAAAUUAUCCUUAUAAUACAAUACAAUACAAGUCUAAUUGGUGAAACCCAAGUCUUGACCAAGGUACAAGAUGCGCUGCAAGUCCAUCCAGUAAAAGAAGUUUUCGUCAAAUAGGGAUCAUAACCCGUUGUGAAUAAAUACCAUAUAGCGCGCAAAUCGCUUCAUUGAAUUAACAAUGUACAUAACCUGCAAAAGAGGCAAAUAUGGCAUCACAAGUAAUAAAAAUCAAUUACAUGUUGUUAUAAAUUCCAUAACUCUUUUAAAGAAAAAACAACCAUAGUUGGAAUCCUAACAGUGAGGAAUCAACACGAAGAUGAAGAAAAAAAGAAGAAACAGUCAUAGAAUAGUUAUUUCAUGAUAUUGCUAUCAUAAACACUCACAAGUUUUUGGGACAACAAGAAGAAAUUACAAACAGGAGGGAAAUACAACCAGACGUAUAAAAAUGUCGCUCCCCCCACUCACACUUGGAUCCCACAAAAUUAGGAGGUACCAAUAUCUUCUACGAAUCUAUCUUAACAAAAAUUCAAACCAGCUCAUCAUUCCAGGAGAAUUUUACACAUGUAAUCCCUCAUCCUUGCCUAUAGAUAAGAACCAAUUACGCCAGAUAAAAAGAGAAUACACACUGUUACUUGCAAAAACUCACAGAGCCAUUACGCUAAAGCUAAUUUUUCCUAAAAUUAGUUAGAGUUUCACCCACUAAAAACUCCCUGCCAAGGUAAGCUUCAGACCCUAAACGAGACAACAAACAUCAUCCAAAAGAAGGCACGAAGAAGGUGAAGAAGGAGAGCAUUUAAAUAAAUAGAAGACUUAAUCUGAAUCACGCGGAGAGACAUCGCCGUCGGACCAACUCCGACAAGUAUUCUUCUUUUCCUUUUUGCCUACAAAUCUUCAUACAUUACAUGUUGCCUUGUUGAACUGAUUAAGAAUCCCUUGUUAAUUGCUUCCGAAUUGCUACUAUUGAGGAUUUAUUUUUCAAAUUAAAGGUUUGUUUGUUUGAACUUGUUUUUUCAAGUUGUUGUUGUUCGAUUUGGUCGUUAAGAGGAGUUUUGGGUUUAGUUUGGUUGUGUCAGGUUAGGUUUUUUAUUGAGAUUUGAAUUUUUGCGUUUCAUUUUGAGUUUUGCUCCGGGUGUUUGAGAAGAGAAUUUCAGGAAAAGGGGAGGCCGGAUAUGGGUUCAUUUUCGGCCAAGAAGAGGGGGUUGUGUUUGUGUUUUGAUUUUAAGGUGGGUUAGCCGGAGAAGAAUGGUGGCGUCGCCGCUAGUGGCCUGGCAACCACCGUCUUCUCGAUGGGUAUGGUCGGAGAGGAGCGGCAUCACUUGGCAGAGCGAAUACUCUGAAGUGAGAGAGAGAAUGAGUUCAAAAAUGAACCUAUUUCUCAAGUCCAGGUUUAAAUACUCGUGCCUACAAUUGCAUGAUAGCGCAGUUCUCUCUGUGGUAGGCCGCGUCUAUUGCUUGACGUUGGUCAUCCAAGCUAUUGCCGUGGUGGACUUCCCACGGAUACCUUAUCGUGCUCCCCAUCAGAUCUCUGUCCAGUUCGUUUGACCCAGUCAGAUCUAUGGAUCCGAGCGGUCAGAAGCGGUUCGCUUGGAUCAACAAAGUUGACCUGGAUCAGCCAUAUUUCCUUGGUUUUAGCCUCCGGUUUGGGCUCAAAGAACGCACUUAUGGCUAAUUUAAAACCCCAUCUUGGGUUCCUGUAAUCACCCAAAUUUGGUCUUCUUCUUUCUACUUUAACCAUUUUAUUUUAUUAUGUUGUUGUUCAUCUAUUUUUCUUUCCCAAUAUUUUUUUAUAUACAUGUAACCAUAUAUAUAAGAGUUAUUUCUAUAAAAUAAUAACAUUUUAUUUUUAUUUACUUAAUUAUUACUUUAAUGCUUUAACUUGUUAUUUAAAUUUAAUCUUGGUUUAAAUUUUUCAGAUUUUGUUUGAGCUAUCAUUUUGUAUCGUGCUUGUAAUUAAAUUCACUUGCGCAAUUCCUAGGUUCAUAUAACCAUGAGUUAAGUUAUAUUUUCAUAAUGGACUUCAUCCUUAAUCAACCCUAAUGUUAUAAUUAAACCAUUUAAAAACCAACAUACUUCUCAAUUCAAUGUUGAGAUCAUCCUCCCAAUACCCUUGUACGUCGAUGCUUUCAUCACGGCGUCGCCAUCAACCUCAAUAGCUUACUCUUGGGCUUCCUUACAAUGAGGCGUAUUCGGUUAUUAAAUAAUCGAUUAGAUGAUUGAUUCACUAAAUUAAUCCAAUUUAAUUCAUAAAAAAUACAAAUUUAAAACCCUUGAUCCCAACAUCGAGUAUUUUUAUUCAAAUUAAUUUCAAAACAUCAAAUUACGAUCUAAAUAACAAUUUCAUAAUAACAAAAUGAAAAGGGUGAUGGUUUUGAGUUUUCAACUUCCUCUCCUCGAUCAUUUGAAUACGAGUUUUCUCUUACUCAGUUAAUCAAUACGCCGUUCAAUUUCUAACUUGCCAAACUUAACCUAGCAAUGUUACUUCAUAAUAACAAAAUGAAAGGGGGAUGGUUUUUAGCCUUUAACUCUUCCCCUCGAUUGUUUGAAUCCAAGUUUUCUUACUCGGUCAGUUAGACAUCGUCCGUUUUUACAAGCUCCUAAAUACGAUUAAAUCGAAAACUACUCUUAUAAUAAGAAUUAAAUGAAAAGGGAGAUGACUUUGAGCCUUACAUCAACUUCUCUCCUCAAUUGAUUGAAUUUUACGAGUUCUCUUACUCGGUUAAUCAAACAAUUGUCAUUUUUCCAUCAACUUAUAACUUAAUAAUCAAUCAUUUUCACAAUAAGCUUAACGAAAGGAGAUGGUCUUUGAGCCUUCCGAUUCCUCUCCUCAAAAUGCUUUUGGAAUAUAGUUCUGCUUACUCAACAUUCCGAGCGCUUGUCGUUUAUUCUAAAUUUACAUCAAUGAUACACAAACAUAUUUUCAUAAUCACUCAGAUGAAAAAGAGAAGUGGUCUAGAGUUUUCUAUUCCGCUUUUUCCGAAUAUAGGAUACAAGUUGUCUUACUCGAAUCGAGUAUUUCUUCAUCCGUUAAAAACACUAAUAUAUUAAAUCGCUUUUUUACAAUUAAGGAAUGAAAGGGAGAUGGUCUAGGAGCCCUUUUUGAUUCCUCUCCUCGACUAUUAGGGAUACAAUUGUCCUUACUCGACUAUCCGAGUAAUACUUCAUCCAACAAAAAUAUCUCACACAUCAAAAUACAUCUCUGUCUCGCCCGUGCGAUCAAAACCAAUCAAACAAAACAGAUCAAACAUAUUAACUCAACUUGUACCCCCGUGUGACCAACUCUUUUAAAAAAAGAACAUCGUUCAUCCUUUCUAAUCGCAUAACAACUAUGCUUAAGCCUUAGUCGAGAAGUUAGACAAGUCAGUGUUUUAGCCUUUUAGGACGCAAGUCUAAACAGUCGUCCUUAAAAGACAAAACCAACCAAACCGUAAGUCCCAAACUACGAAUGCUCUGAUUCUUUAUUGCUCCAUAAGGAUACGUAGACACGAUUGCGAGAUCUUGGCGAGCACACUAAUAAAAAACCUCACCUUUCCCCCUUUCUGAGUUUUUCCCUCCAUCUCUUUGUCAAUUAUCUUAUCACUCGAAGAAUACACAAAACCAACAUAAGUUAAACAUUCACAUCGAAAAUUAACACUAAAAGGUUCGCGUUGAGUACAACGGCCUGGGGGGUGCUAAUACAGUUCCCUGCGUAAUCAACUCCCCGAACCCGAAUAUGGGUGCGACGCCCAUUAUUCUAUUUUUUCAAGAGGUUUUAUCGAUAUUUUCCUAUUCUUCACUGGGUAAAUAAAGUUUCGGUGACUGACUCUGUUCGAACCUAAUUUCCGCGACCAUUCGCGGAGGAAUUGUAUUUUUUCGAGAUACGACAUCCGCAUCAUCAAUAAACUUAACAAAUAUUGUACUCACUUCUCCUAGGACCUCUUAUCUCUUUUCUAUCAAUACCUAUUAUGCUUGUAAUAUUUGCGUGAUCCGAGUGACCUUCUUAGAUCUCCGAUCUUGCAAGAAAAAAAAUAAUGCGUCUAGGUGGUACAACAUGCCUCUUGUCAAAAAUCAAGGACAUGCUGCUUCUCACUCCGUGGUCAACCCUACCAACAAAUGAUGACCUUCUAUAGAUAAUAUCCGGUAAAUCCAUGGGUUUAAUCGGAAUCCAUAUUUUUACUUAAUCGCUUCCAGUCAGCCCAUAUUUCGCCAGGUCGACCUGAUUAAAUGGACAUCCCCAUAUUUUUUGGUCACACUUGGGUUUCACUACAGUAUCCUUGUAUUUUCCACCUUACACAAUCAAAAUAAUAAUUUGUUACUUCUCCCUUUCUUUAACAAUUACUUUAUUAUGAAAAUUCCAAUUCUUUAAUUCACCUUAUCGACCUCUUCUCUGUGUUCAAAUGUGUUUGGUAGUUGAAAAAACACCAGAAAUAUCUACACAUAUUUGGAAAAAAAAAAUUCCAUACCUGCCACAAUAAAAAAUUGUCCAAAAAAAAUUAAUAAUCGCAAACCGAAAGACUUCCAUAAAAGAGUUUCCGUACACCAUAAAUAAACACCGAAAAUCUUUAGACCAAUAAUUCCGGUAAUAUAUUAUGUGUUAACCGGAAACACAUGUUAAGUAUUCCCGAAACAAGUAUUUUUUUCUUACACUAAAUCGAAACUCUUCAAAAAAGUGUUCCGAACACGUUUCACAUUAAAAUUGAUGUCUUCCACAAAAUGUUAUGAAUUAAGAAAAAAUACAUAUCAGGAAAUAAUUUCCAAUAUGUUCCGAUACGAUGUAAUAGGUGCAAUUUUUAGAAAAUCUAAAUUGAAUGAUUUAAAAGGAAAAUGAUAAAUUGAUUAAAAUAAUAAGGAUAAAUUGACAUUUAAACAAAAAAGAAAAAUAAAGAUAUUAAUUAAACUGAAUACAAUGGAUAAAAUUUUCUUUUCAAAACUUUAAAUCUACGCAGGUUCACGGAUCUAUUUUCUCCGAAGGGAAGAUUAAGAAAAUUUCAGAAUAAAAAUAGAAACUGUUUUGGAAUCUAUAUUGAUUUCACGUUUCCAAGUAGUGCUGGUGGAAAAGUAAAAAUAGGUCCCAGUGAUUGACUUGCCAGUAGUGAUGUGGAAGGAAACAGUGUCCCCAGUGAUGACUUGCCAGUAGUGACGGUGAAAAAGGAGAAACAGUGUCCCCAGUGAUGACUUGGAAAUAAAAAUCUAACCGGUCCUACAAGAAACUCAUGAUGAAUACCAUUAUGAAUUUGUUUUUUUCUGGUGGUGUGGAGGCACAGAAAGGGCAGAUGCAGUGUUGGGUGAGGAAAACUGAGAGUGACGAAGAGAGAAGGGUAAGAUGAAGAGUGAAUCAAUAUUUGUUUUAGAAGCAGAGGAAACAAUGAAGAAUGAAUCGAAAGUUGUUUAGAAGCAGAGAGAAACCAAUGAAGACACAAAAUCCAUGGUUGUGCAAGAGCAGAGAGAAACAAUGAAGACAUAAUUCCAAUGGUUGUUAAGAUUUCUAUUCCUCCUCAAAUUUAUCCUUAUCCGUUGAAUAUUGCUGAUUUUCAGAUUGAUUUAUAUAUAUUCUUCACUUUUUAUUUAUUUUUGUAAAUUUUUUAUUUACUUUUCUUGUGAUUAUUAUAUAUUGUCUAGUAUUAGUAUUAUUUUUUUUAGUUUUNGCGUGUUUUGAUCUGAAUUUCGUUGGCCUGGCUUUCAAAUUCUGUUUACCGCCACUAGCAUCCAAUCACGUUGCGCCAUUCCAUUAAUGAACACGACGUCGUUUUGCCUUGCUGAAGCUUAAUUACGACUUUGCCAUUUUCACAUAUUAAUUUUAAUUCAUUUCAUUUUUCUUUCAUUUCAAUUCCAUUUUUGAUGCUUGAUCUUUAGAAAAUCAUAACUGAUUCAUUUUUUAUCCAAAUUGAGUGAGGUUUUUUUCAUGAUGCUCCUUGUAAUGUGUGGAAUUUAAUGAUGAUUUUUAUUAUUUUUGUGCACAUGUGGAAAAUUAAUUUGUCUAGAGAUUGAUUGAAUGUGUCACAUUGGUACAUGCUUUGCCAUAUCUUCCAUAAAAUGAUGAUGCUUUCAAAGAAAUGGAUGAAAUGUUUUAUGCAUAUUCUGGACACUUUGAUGGUGAUUUUGAUGUAGACUUUGUGGUUUUUGGAUACCUGGUUGUCGAGAUAUGAAUUUUUGAAUAGAGGUGUGACAAUUUGUGUCACACCAAGCAUUGUGAACUUCAUGAUUUUAUUUUGCCUUGCUUAGGGAUGUUGAAUUGAUGCCAAUUUUUUGAAUGUGAGCAUAUUAUGUUGAGAUGACAUGUGAAUUUUUCUGGCAUUUCAUUUGAUGGUUUCUCCUAUUUGCUUGGAAUUUUUCUCUGUUGGUGCAUUUGUUGUUCCAUGUGACACAUGUUACCAUUGCUUUGUGAAUGAUGGUUACUGAUUGUAUGGCGGAAUUUGACAUGUGAUUAGUAGACACAUUAUAGCGUCAUUAUGGUUUUUUGCAUCCCUUCCAUUAUUUGUGGUGCACAUUGUUUAUGAUUGUUCUGGAAUGUUGAUGUUGUUUGGAUACCAUGUGUUGGCUUGCUUGAACUUGUCUGAACUUUAUGAAUUUAAUUUCCAUACUUCCAUUGAUCCAAAUGAGCUGAAAUUUGAUGUGCUAUUCAUUGGAUAGGUUCUGUUUAUGCUGGAAUUUUUGUGGAAUUAAUUGAAUUGUUUUGAUAUGGAUUUGAUUGAGAUCUUUCUGUUUGGUCAUUUGGAGUUGCAAAUUGCAUGUUUGAUGCUAUUUUGUGCAUAAAAUGAUAAUGGUGAAUGGUAUGAGCAUAGGACCAAUUGCAUUUGCUUCUAAAUUGUUUGAAUGUGAUUUUGGAUAAUUUUCACUUGCUGUUUUGGAUUUUUCAUCCCCUUUGGACCCUAGGCUUGGCCUAGUGGUCUUGUUUCUCACUUUUGAAUUGUGUUUCAGGUUUGAAAUGCAAAAGGCUUAAGGAGAAAAUUGCAAGCUGAUUAAAUUGAGUUUUGUUUGAUGUUGUAAACUAACAUUGGUUUUGUGUUGUAGGGUUUGAUGCUUGAGUUUGAGCUCAUGGCUUGCACUUGUGUGCAUUAAUUUGUCUUUGACUNAGCCAGAAACCAAGGGGGAGACCACACUACCAGGGAGCUGUACUCGGCCUAGUGUUAUCAUGCAUCAUUGCCCUAUGUGAUGGUUCUACCUACUUGCACAACGCAAGCUAUCCUAUCCAGGAAGAAGCAAGCAUGCAAGCAUCACAAACAAAAACAUUUCACAUAGCACAACUAUAUCCAGUCAAGUGAGGCUCAACAAGGGUGGACGCGAGGCAAAGUCUCUGUACAAGGUAGGUUAGCUCUUAACCUUGCAUGAGAGGCUAAGUGAAGCUGAUGAAAGGUGGGUGAAGAUUAGACUUCACAGCUCUAUCCCUGGCCAGGGAGAGCUCAGACAAAGGAGCGUGGGUCCAGAAUGAGGGACCUCUACGCUCAAGACCUGACUCGACUGUACAAGUACAAGAUCUUGGGUUGUGUCCCAAUGAUCUUACCAGUGGUGUGAGCAGAGGGACGACUCAACAGAAUGCGAGGGGAUAGAUUGCAAUCCCUUGGGUUCGCCAAUUGCCCAUAAGGUCUUUACCUGCUUGGCAACCAAAAGUAAACAAACCACAAACAUCGCCUCUUAAGGAGGACUUCAGACAGUGCCUGGCUAAAUAACAAAGCCAGGUCUGUCCAGACUACAUGGAGACAAGAGGUCUACCUCAACUGUUAUACAACCAAGCAGGCAGCAAGCAAGUUCUUAAAGAAACUAAAGCGACUUAAUGUACCUGAAAUCAAUCAAGUAUCAUCAGUACCUCAGACAAGCUAACCCAACAUAAACAGCAAAUGUUAAUCUGUACCAGUCAAAGACAAAUUAAUGCACACAGUGCAAGCCAUGAGCUCAAACUCAAGCAUUCAAACCUAUAACACAAAACAAGUUAGUUUACAACAUCAAACAAACUCAAUUUAAUCAGCUUGCAGAUUUUCUCCUAGCCUUUGUGCAUUUCAAUCCUGAAACCACAAUCAAAAGUGAGAAACAAGACCACUAGCCAAGCCUAGGUCAAAGGGAUGAAAAUCCAAAACAGCAAGUGAAAAUAUCCAAAAUCACAUUCAAACAAUUUAGAAGUCAAAUGCAAUGGUCCUAUGCUCCAUACCAUUCACCAUUAUCAUUUUAUGCACAAAAAUAGCAUCAAACAUGCAUUUGCAACUCCAAUGACCCAAACAGAAGAUCUCAACAAUCCAUAUCAAAACAAUUCAAUUAAUUCCACAAAAAAUUCGCAUAAACAGAACCUAUCCAAUGAAUAGCACAUCAAAUUUCAGCUCAAUUUGGAUCAAUGAAAAGUAUGAAUAAAUUCAUAAAGUUCAGACAAGUCAAGCAAGCCAACACAUGGGUAUGCCAAACAACAUCAACAUUCCCAGAACAAUCAUAAACAAUGUCACACACAAAUAAUGAAUGGGAUGCAAAAAACCAUAAUGACCUAUAAUGUGUCUAAAUCACAUGUUCAAAUUCCGCUCAUACAUCAGAACCAUCAUUCACAAAGCAAAUGGUAACAUGUGUCACAUGGAACAACAAAUGACCAAACAGAGAAAAAUUCCAAGUCAAAUAGGAACAAGCCAUCAAUGAAAUCCAGAAAAAUUCACAUUGUCAUCUCAACAUAAUAUGCUCACAUUGCAAAAAAUUGGCAUCAAUUCAACAUUCCCUACAGCAAGGAAAAUAAAUAAUGAAGUUCACGAAUGUUUGGGUGACACAAAUUGUCAGCACCUCUAUUCAAAAAAUUCAUAUCUCGACAACCAGGUAUCCAAAAAGCCACAAGUCUACCAUCAACAAUCACCAAUCAAGGGUCCAGACAUAUGCAUAAACAUUCAUCCAUCUUUGAAAGCAUCAUCAUUUUAUGGAAGAUAUUGCAAAGCAUGUAACCAAUGUGACCACAUCAAUCAAUCUCUAGACACAUAUAAUUUUCCCACAUGUUGCCACAAAAAUAUAAAAUACAUCAUUAAAUUCCACACAUUACAAGGAGCAUCAUGAAAAAACUCACUCAAUUGGAUUAAAAAAACUAAUCAGUUAUGAUUUUUCUAAAAGAUCAAGCAUUCAAAAAAUGGGAAUUGAAAUGAAAGAGAAAAAGAAAUGAAAUGAAUUAAAAUAAUAUGUGAAACAUGGCAAAGUCGUAAUUAAGCUCAGCAGCGCAAAACGACGUCGUGGUUCAUUAAUGGGAAUGGGCAACGUGAUUGGGAUGCUAGUGCAGGUAAACAGAAUUUGAAAGCCGAGGCCAAACGAAAUUCAGAUCAAAACGAUGCGUUCUUGCACUUCUCAUCGCUCCAUCAAUCAACAACAUUUCCAAGAAAUCGACAUACAUGAAUUCUCAACCAAAAAUCCACAAAUCCAACAUCAAAAUAACUCGUAAUCCAUGCACAUCACGAACACGCAACUAGUGUUGAACUAAAAUCUCCAACGUAUCAACGGAUCAGAUCAAAAUAGAAAUGCACAUCAAUUUCAAAUGCACGAUUUCUCAUUCACGACUGUAAUCAAAUCACAACACCACAACCGCAUCGUUAACUACAUUGAAAGACCUACAAAACACCCAACAUCAUAUAUGCAAUGGUGAAAUUCGACAAAUAUCACCUGAGUGGAAUUCGCAGUUGAUGAAUCUGGAUGUUCCUCGUGCAAAGCAAAACAACGAUGAUGAUUGAUGUUCUGUAAAGUAUGGAUUGUAAGAGUUCCUCAGCUCAAGGAGCUCAAUUGCAAGAAUGAAUAAAGUUGCCUUGAUGUAACAAGCUUGAAGUCCACCGUCUUGAAGCUUUGGCGGGUAUCACAAACAGUUCAUCAACAAGCUUUGUGGAGCCAUGGAUCCAAAGAAGAUUAACAAGAUGAAUGAAUGAUUUGAUGAAAUUUGAUGAAAAAAGUUGUGGGUUUUGGAGAAUUUGAGAGAAUUGGAGGAAAAACAGUUAUAAAUCUUGGAGAAUGAAAUGUAAUUUGGGCAAUUUCUGUUAUGAUUAUGAUAUAACAUCUCCUAUCCCUUUCCUAAUCACAGAUUACCAAUGGCUUGAUUAGCAUAAUGCAUUUUUUGGUGAUGAAAGUUCCCAAAAAAUGACGCAUUCCAAAUUUGCUAUGUAACAGGAACAUGACAAUUCUCACAGUUCUUAAAUGGACUAUUGGAGUGUGUUGGAGUGGUCUGUGUGUGAACCCAAAUCCUAAUAUGCUCAAUAUUCACUAUCUCUGCACACCAAAAAUGACAUAAAUAGUCCACUUUGUAAAUUUGACUUUUUGCCUGGACCAUUAAUUUUCUGAUUUUUGGACCAUGACCCCAUGAUAAAGUACAUCGUUUCUGAAAUGGGGUUGCUCAUAAAAACGGUUACCUAAGAUUGACAAUUCAUCCAUUGAAAUUAUGCCACUUUGAUUAUAGGCAUUUGAAAAAGACUGAAUGGACCAUUAACUUGUCUUAAACAUACAUGGAUCACAUUAUCAAGGUUCUUGGACUUUUUGGAGGUUUGAGAGAGGCAAUAGGAUCUACCAACUUUCAUGUCUGAACACAAAAUUUUCAUUUUGCUAAGCUUUUUUUGCACAUUGAUCUCUCAGAAUUUCUUUCCCUUUCAGGGGAACUACGUCGCCCUGAUCCUCAUACCAGAUGAGGUACGUAGGCAGGAGACCGUGCGAGGUCUCUCCGGGCACUUUUUUUUUCUUUUUGUGUGUGUUUGCUUGUUUCUUUUUUUGUGUGUCAGGAUAUGGACGUAAGCCCAGCGAUUGGUUGUCCGUAUCCUGAGUGUGUUUGUUUGGUUCGGAAGCCGAUGUAAGUCCAGCAAUUGGCAUUCGGGUUCCAUGUUUGCCCUUGUUUGUGUGUGUCUUGUUUGGCGUGCGUGAGCCGAACUACGGCAGCUCUGAUUCUCGUUCCAGACGAGAUACGUAGGCAUAUGAUGCGAUGUCCUAGCGAGCCCUCUCUUCCCUCUUCUCCCACCUGUGUUGUUUUCAGUGUGUGUGUGUGAUGUUUGUUUUAGCAACCUUUUCUUUAUUUUAGAGCGUGGAUCCCGUCGAGUACGACGGACGUGAGGGGUGCUAAUACCUUCCCCUUGCGUAACCGACUCCCGUACCCUUUCUCUUUGGUCGCGAGACCUUGCUUUUCCCAGGUUUACUCUGAGACCCGUCGAGUACGACGGACGUGAGGGGUGCUAAUACCUUCCCCUUGCGUAACCGACUCCCGUACCCUUUCUCUUUGGUCGCGAGACCUUGCUUUUCCCAGGUUUACUCUGAGCGUUUCCUUUCCCUUCUUGGGAUAAAUAACGCACGGUGGCGGCUCUGUGUUGUUUUUGUUUCAGCCCGUCGGUUGUUUUUCGCGGAUGCGACACACCCCAAUAACAAAAUUCCACAUUGUUGGCAUCAUCACCAAAGCAAAACACCUUAACAGGAGCAUAUCCCAAUUACCCAUUUGCAUGCCCACAUGCAUCACAUGCACCAUGUGCAUCAUCACAUACAUCAUCUUCCUACCAAAAUAGUAAAAUUCACCAAGAAAUAAUCAUACCAAUCAUCGACAUACAUAUGCAUAGCCUUAUACAAUCCACAUUCCUAUAUGAACAGCUAAAUAUCCCCAGCGAUGGCACGUUCGCAUACAUCGCAUGCAUAAUUUCAUAACAUGGUGCUUCCAUCCAAAGUGGAACAUCAUACAAAAUAUAACAUAAUUCAGGAUCCGGGAUCAAUCAUAUAUAUCCCAUAUUUUCCUCCUUUAAUUCAACGGGGUGACUAUCCUGCGGGCGCUCAUGGAAUUAUUUCCUGGCCAGUCAUUUUUCAACUUUAUGAUUAAUAAUGACAUCCCCCUAGCAUCUUUACUAUCAUUAAUCCCCAAGCAGAGGUUACGUAAAAAAAAUCUUCUAUAAGCUUUUCCUCUGCAGAACAUUUCUAGUAAAUCUCCUCCAAAAGGAGUCUUUUCUAAAAGUAUCCCCCCAAUAGACGAACAUUUUGAGAUGUUGUUCCAUUUAUUUGGAGAAUCUCAUUUUUGUUGUUCGAGAUGCUGCUUCAUCAAUAUGAAGAGUCUCAUUCCUAUUUCUUUUGAGAUAAUGCUCUAGUAUCCUUGAAGAGUCUUAAAUUCAAUUAAGGUAUCAUUCCCUUGUUCGGAAUAUCUUAAUUCUAUCAUGUAAGAUGCUGCUUCGAUUCGAUACAGAGAAUCUCAUUUUGUCUGUUUGAGAUGCUGCUUCAUCAAUAUGAAGAGUCUCAUUUGUUUUUAGAGAUAAUGCUCUAGUAUCCUUGAAGAGUCUUAUAUUCAAUUAAGAUAUCAUUCCUUUUGACUGGAAUAUCUUAAUUCUAUCAUAUAAGAUGCCGAUUCGAUUCGAUACAGAGAAUCUUAUUUUGCUGUUUGAGAUGCUGCUUCAUCAAUAUGAAGAGUCUCAUUCUAGAUUUUUUAGAGAUACUACUCUAGUAUCCUUGAAGAGUCUUAGAUUCAAUUAAGGUACCAUUCCCUUGUUUGGAAUAUCUUAAUUCUAUCGUGUAAGAUGUUGCUUCGAUUCAAUACAGAGAAUCUCAUUUUUGCUGUUUGAGUUGCUGCUUCAUCAAUAUGAAGAGUCUCAUUCCAUUUUCUUUUAAGAUACUUCUCUAGUAUCCUCGAAGAGUCUUGGAUUCAAUUAAGGUAUCAUUCCAUUGUUUGGAAUAUCUUGAUUCUAUCGUAUAAGAUGCUGCUUCGAUUCGAUACAGAGAAUAUUAUUUUUUAUUGUUUGAGAUGCUGGUUCAUCAAUAUGAAGAGUCUCAUUCCAUUUUCUUUUGAGAUACUGCUCUAGUAUCCUAAAAGAGUAUUGGAUUCAAUUAAGGUAUCAUUACCUUGUUUGGAAUAUCUUGAUUCUAUCGUGUAAGAUGCUGCUUCAAUUCAAUACAGAGAAUCUCAUUUUUUUACUGUUUGAGAUGUUGCUUCAUCAAUAUGAAGAGUCUCAUUCCAUUUUCGUUUGAGAUACUGCUCUAGUAUCCUCGAAGAAUCUUGGAUUCAAUUAAGGUACCAUUCCCUUGUUCGGAAUAUCUUAAUUCUAUCAUAUAAGAUGCUGCUUCGAUUUGAUACAGAGAAUCUUAUCUUGCUGUUUGAGAUGUUGCUUCAUCAAUAUGAAGAGUCUCAUUCAUUUUUAGAGAUACUGCUCUAGUAUCCCCGGAGAGUCUUAAAUUCAGUUAAGAUAUCAUUCCCUUGUUUGGAAUAUCUUAAUUCUAUCAUAUAAGACGCUACUUUGAUUUGAUACAGAGAAUCUCAUCUUGCUGUUUGAGAUGCUGCUUCAUCAAUAUGAAGAGUCUCAUUCAUUUUUUGAGAUACUUCUCUAGCAUCCUUGAAGAGUCUUAGAUUCAAUUAAGGUAUCAUUCCCUUGUUCGAAAUAUCUUAAUUCUAUCGUAUAAGAUACUGCUUCGAUUCGAUACAGGGAAUCUCAUUUUACUGUUGAGAUACUGCUUCAUCAUUAUGAAGAGUCUCAUUCCAAUUUCAUUUGAGAUAUUGUUCCAUUUUCUGGAGAAUCUCAUUCUUGCUGUUUGAGAUACUGCUUCAUCAAUAUGAAGAGUCUCAUUCAUUUUUAGAGAUAUUACCCUCAUAUACCCGGGGAACCUUAGAUACGGUUGGAGUACCAUUCCCUUACCAGGAACUUCCAAAUCUUAUCAGGUAAAGGAUAAAAUUCGGGUUUGUUAGUAUUUAAUUAUCUUCCACCAUGAAUGCACGAAGAGUGGUGUCAUUCAUACCUUCUAGUCCAAGUUAAUUAAAUAGGGGCAGCUGUCAUACCCUGAUUUUGCCUGGGUAGUUUAAAAACUUUCGUUAAGCAUCCAUAAAAAAAAACGACACAUAGACUCAAAACUUGAGGGGAGGGGGGCUUACUUGAUCAAAACUUCAUCAACCCUAAAACAUGACCAGUUUUCUUUAUAGGGUUUCCCAGCCCUAUGCUACUCCAAACUUCCCAUCAUUCAUAGUAAGGUUUGAUCUGCCUAGCCAGAGGCCCAUUCAAUGCUCACAUGUUCAUUCUAAAAACUAUCAGUGUCAUCAAACUUUCAACAAUUCUUUCAACGAAAUUUCAUCUAAUAAGUUCCUUGUUCGUAACCCAAAGAUCUGUUGCGUUCAUCUCCUAUAGCUACUACCAGUGCGUGGGUUGAUAUGCACAUUUUUGGGACUUUUUGGUUAUACAAGUCUCAUUUCGGGUCGGUCUUUGAUAAAGCAUAGAGUUCUAUGUAAACAAUGUAUCGCCUACGCGUACCCAAUGUUUUGGUCUUGGUUCUUUCAAUUAUCCAUAAGAUCUCUUGGUUUAAAAGCAUAAUCAUGUCAACAUGUUCAUCUUAAAUAUUGUAAUUUCAAGGUUUGAUGCAAGUCAUUCCCAUACGACAUAGUCCAAAUCUAUUUUCUUGUUAGCAAGUACUAAAUGUCCUUUUACUUGUGAUAAUUGCCUGUUAGUCCAAGGUUGCAAGUUCACUGUCCACUUUGUCUCAUAAUAAUUACACAAAGCAUUGCUUACUAUUGGUUGAGUGUUCUAAAAUUAAGUUACAAUUGAAACGUGUAUGCGAAUUGCUUAGAUAAUCCAAAAAAAUCGUUUACAUGUACCAAAUGUAUUCAAGUAUUUUCUUUUUGCAAAACUUGGAAUAAUACGUAAGUUUAGGAGAUCGUACAUAAUCUAUUCCCAAAUUAUCAUUAUAAUACAAUACAAUACUAAGUCCUAAUUGGUGAAACCAAGUCUUGACCAAGGUACAAUGCGCUGCAAGUCCAUCCAGUUGAAAAGAAGUUUUCGUCAAAUAGGGAUCAUAACCCGUUGUGAAUCAAAUACAUACUAGCGCGCAAAUCGCUUCAUGAAUUAACAUGUACAUAACCUGCAAAAAGGCAAAUCAUUGGCAUCACAAGUUAAUCAAAAUCAAUUACAUGUUGUUAUAUAUUUCCAUAACUCUUUAAAGAAAAACAACCAUAGUUGGAAUCAUAAAAGUGAGGGAAUCACACGAAGAUGUAAAGAAAAAAAGAGAAAACAGUCAUAAAUAGUUAUUUCAUGAUAUUGCUAUCAUAAACAUC